GCGAACCAGGUGAGGUGAAAGAAGACCCUAAGAAAAGGCAACCCCAGGCGGCUCCUAAGCCAGACGCCAAGCAGGCUCCCAAAGGGCAACAAGGCACCACGGGGCCCAAAGCCACCCAGGCGCAGCCACAAGCUCAGCAACCUCCCAAAGCCCCAGAGCAAUCUAGAUUAUUCAGUCUUAACAUAGGAGGCAUCACAGAUGCUCCCAAACCUCAGCCAACAACCCCUCAAGAAAGAGUCACCGGGAAGCUCUUUGGAUUUGGUGCUUCAAUUUUCAACCAGGCUUCCAAUUUAAUCUCUACAGCAGGCCAGCCAGGAGGUCAACCACAGGGUCCUCCAUCUGGGUCCCCCUCAAAGCAGCCGCCUCCUGCAGCACAGCCUCCUGCCCCACAAAAAGAUACCCGUCAAUCCCAGCCAUCUCCCAAAGCAACACCUGUGAAGAAAGAAACAAGGCCUCCUGUGGCAGAAAAGCCAGAGCCACCCAAAGCUGAUGGCGGCUCCGCUGUUAAGGAAACAGACGCUGGGAAGAAGGCUUUGCCUGCCAAAGACAUCAAGCCUCCAGCUGUGGAAGCUAAGCAAAGUGCCGAGGCACCAAAAACAAAGCCUCCUUCGCAGCCAGCGUCUUCUUGUCCUCUCUGUAAAACUGAGCUAAAUGUUGGUUCUAAGGAUCCUCCCAACUAUAAUACGUGUACUGAAUGCCAUAACGUCGUGUGCAAUCUCUGUGGAUUUAACCCAAUGCCGCACAUAACUGAGGUAGGCAACAUUUUAUUUUGCGUUAAGAUUUUUGUGAACCACUGUUUUGUAAGCCUCGAAUACAGAAGAACAUUUGAUCAGUCUUCCUGGGAGUAAGCGCCAUUCAGUUCAGUGUAGAAUGUUUCCAAGUAGGCAUGCAAUGCAUACCAUUGCACUGUAAGUAUAUGGGCUUGCUAGCCAUUCUUUUUGUGUGUUUGCUUUUUUUAUAUACAGUUUUUAAUAUCUAUAUGCGAUUUCACUGUGAAGUUUGAACAAAUGUGUAAAUGCAGAGGAGAAAAAGGCUACGCUUAGGGACUAUAUUAUCUUCUGUAAUUUGCUCUGUGGAUAUUUCUGGCAGGCUGGGAUGGCAAGAGUGUUUGCUUUAGAUUCACUUACCACAAGACUGGGUGACGGAUGCCUGCAGUUUAUUUACUUACUUGUCUGAUGUCUUUCCAAUUUCAGCAUAGUGCUUGAAAUUCUUUUUUCUUUCUCUGCUUUGUCUUUUUCUGUAAUUUUAAAAAUUUUCAAUAAAUAUCAUUUUUUUAAAAAAACAAAUAUAGAAACAUAAUAAAACAUUUAAAAAACUUCAAAAAAACCAUAGUGCUUGAAAAAGUGACAUGUAGAACAGCUUCCUUCUUGCAUUUUGCAUCUUACUUUUUGUGUUUGGGAAAUGUUGUAGAUGGUAAGCAAAAUACCGUCUUGUAAAAUGAACUUCCUGCUUCCAACUGAGGAAGUUUUUUGUUUUGUUUUUUAAGAAUAAAUUCAAUACAUCUUUCCUAGAUUUUGAAGCUAAAUAUGACUGGCAGCUUUGCAGCUACUAUUGGUAGAAGCCAAUUUGAAAGUCCCCUUUUGGUCUUGCAGCCCCUUAACCUUAUCCUGUUUUUUCUUCUGUUAAUUCUGGUUUGAUCUCUUUGGCUUUGUUAUUGUCCUGGUUUGGGUUGACCAUUGAAUACCUGAAUAUGUUUAAGUCUUGUGGGAUUUGUUUUGCAGAACGUUGGUUGAUCUUUGAUUACAUAUGGUUUGGGAUGGUUUGUGAAACACCCAAAGACUUUGCCACAGAAGUGUGUGAGCUCUGAGUUAGAAGAUACUAUGCCUUAAACAGUAGAGCAUGUACCCUUUCUUUCAUCAGCUAGUUUAGAGCCACUGUACCCAUUACCUGGAAGCAAAGAAACAGGAACAACAGCUGACUUCUUCAGCACAUCCUUCCGUAAGCCUAAGGCUGGCACAUGAGAGAGAACAAAGAUGUAUUAUUCUCACCAGUGAGAUGUCACUGUCCAUUUGUAGCAGGACAGGAAACAACCUCUAUGAAGAGAAACAGAAAAAGAUUCUGAGCUGAUGUAAAACACAAAUGUUGAUUUACAUGUCAGCUCAGAGCCUAUUGUUUAAUGGCUUCCAUAGAAAAUAAGAGGUUUUAGUUUCUGAUUAACCCAACCAUCUGAUUUAUAUUUACCUUAAUGCCAGGUUCUCUAAAAAGUAAACAGCUGACGAUUCAAUAAAUGAGAAUUUAUAGAUUUCAAAGGCCCAUAGGGUCAUAUGUACUCCGAUGGAUUAUCAUGAAUCUUAGCCAAUGUUCUUACCCAAUGAUUCGCCCAGCGUGGAGGAGCACUGUUUACUAACUCCUUAAUUAGCCAUCCUGUGGACUUGCAGUGAAGGUAGUUCUAUUUUUAGUACACAUGGAAGGAGAAAACACAGGAGCUGCAGAUGCUCACAAAUGAAGCACCGCAGUAGUGACCAUUUUGUGCAGUGAUGCCAAUGGAAACCUAAAGAAUAUUGACUUUGUGUGGUUUAUAAGUUGAUUAAUUUCAGUUUGGGGUUUGGAGGGUUGGGUUCCCUGCUGGGAAGAUGUUUGAGCAUGCAUUCUAGUUGCGGCUGUUGUUGCUGAUGACCGUGAUGAUGAUAAGAAUCAUAUUAGGGGGAAAUUGCACAAUAAAAACUAAAGGGGAAAUCUAACUGUCGGUAGAUUACAGGGAUAGGAAAAAUCUAACUUGCCUGUGACGGGUUGGUGAGGAGAUGUUUUAUUCCUUAAAACAAAACCUAGCUAACAAAAUGCCCCACAGACCAUGGCUGUAGUGCAGGACGUGAUCCAGAGGCGUCAAGGAUUAGUUUAAAAGGAUGCAAUCUCAAGAACCAAAUUUGAAAUCUGUUGUGGGUUUCAUUCUUAUUAUUUUUUAAAGGCAGGUUUUUGUUCAGACACCACUUCCCCCGCUUGUGACAUGGCAGCAAGGGACCCUUCCUCAGGCUUCCAGUGCAAGUAAAGAACCCAAGUCAUAAUUGACGUGAGUUGAGCUGGCACUGCUGUUAGCUGCUGGGUUCAUGCUGCUGCCUUUAAGCCACAGAAGAAGCUGGAGUGGAGGCGGUGAGGCUAUCAUGAUCACAUAUUUAUGAUUACAUAUUUAUUUAAACCCCGCCUUAUUCAGGGCGGCUUACAGGUAAAAUGAGAACAGCAAAAACAUUGGGGGGGGGGGAACUAAUAAUUAAAAAACAAGUAAUCAGUACAAUUGUUCAUCUCCUUAUCUAUGAUCUAUUAAAAACAACCUGAUUUUUAUUUGCAGGCAGCCCCCCACUUACACGUGUCCAGUUUUUGUGUGACCAAGUAUCUGUGCAUUUUGCUGAGCCCAGAAGUGACCUGGAAACAUCAUAAAGAUGUUCCUGAAACAUCACUGAAAGGGCGGAAUGGGGGCGAGGCAGGAUGUUUGCAGGCUUUUUCAAUGGGUUUCAAUUAUAUGUGAUUUUUCUGACUCGUGCAGAGCCUCAGAACAUAAGCCCCGUGUAAACAGUGGGCAGCCUGUAUCCCAUCUGCCAUGGAUGUUUUAGUAGAGAUUCCUGCAUUGCAGAGGUUUCCUCACAACUCUACAAUCCUACGAUUCUCUGAUUCUAUGAUGUUAUAUGAACUGUUUUGAAAGGUGCGUUCUUGUGCAAGCAUGCUACUUAUUUAGUAAUUAGGAACUGGCUGUUCACUUUCAGAAAUUUAACUUUCAAAUGAGAAAAUGUGCUCUCCUCAGAGUGAAAACACAAUUUAGUCCAAAACUAAUGUGAAUUUCAGUGACCUGUGUCACAGGGCCACUUGGAUUACAAUCAAGCCAAAUGAAAGGAAGUUGUCUUUGUUCUGACUUGGACAGGCGGAUGGCAAAGUCACAGUGGGCUGCCUUGUUUGCCUUGUGAAAUCGUUAUAGUGGUGUAGUGGACUUGGAAAGGGGACAUCGAGACUUGGUGCUCAGCUGUGAAGCUGGCUCGGUUGCUUUGGGCAACUCAUCACCUCCUGGAAUUUUGAAGGGAGAGGCAGCUGAUUUGGUACGGGCAGACUUGUCUCAUUGUGUAUAGGAAUUAUUUGCCCAUCUGAGAUCUGCUUUGAGAUCUCAGAUCGGCAAAUGAUGAGUGUAUUUGAAAGAAGGGAAUCUUGGACUUUUGACUUGGAAGAAAAAUAUUAUUAACACCAUUUUGUUCUGGCACUGUUACAUAAGAAAUAUAAUCUUUGGAAUUGUCUGUGUAGCUCCGCCAUCUGUCUGGGGAACACUGUUCUUAUUGUUGUGUGUGGGGUAAGGUUUUCCUAAAGACAUCCAGUUGUUACAGGCUUGAAGUAUUAUUGAAGUAUUAUUGGGCUUGAAGGUAAAGGACACCUGACAGUUGAGUCCAGUUGCGAACAACUCUGGGGUUGCGGCGCUCAUCUCACUGUACUGGCCGAGGGAGCCGACGUUUGUCUGCAGACAGUUUUUCCAGCUCAUGUGGCCAGCAUGACUAAGCCACUUCUGUAGAAACCAGAGCAGCACAUGGAAACGCCGUUUACUUUCCCACUGAAGCGGUACCUAUUUAUCUACUUGCACUUUUUGACGUGCUUAAGCUGCUAGGUUGGCAGGAGCUGGGACCAAGCAAUGGGAGCUCACCCCGUCGCGGGGAUUCGAACCACCGACCUUCCGAGGCCCUAGGCUCAGUGGUUUAGACCACAGUGCUACCCACGUCCCCUAUUGAUCAAUUCACAGGGUUUUUCUUUUUUAAAAAACUAACGAAAACAACCCUCAAAUAUAGUAUUGACGUACAUUGCUUUCUAGUAAAAAAAAAAGUUAUGGUAAUCAUUAAUCACAUUUUAAAGGUUGAGUUGGAUGUGGCUGUUGUAUUCUCUAGUCUUUUUAGGUCAGGACUCAGUGCACCAUAUGCUGGUCUUCUGUUUUAGUUUUGUUUAGUUCCUGGCACUGUGUGUGUCUUUUUAAUGCGGCUAUUUGUUUGGAAUUAAUCUAGUUAUUGUGCCAAAGGAAAGGAUAAACUGAAUGUAUAAGGCAUGUUUAAAGAAAUAAAUCAAGAAGAAGGAUUACAGAAUUUAAAAUAUUUCCUGGUUCAAAUUCCUCUUUGGAAUCAGUGAAAAUAGUUAAAUUGAGACCUGAUCUCAAAGAUGUAAGCACUGUUAUACCAUGAAAAUUAUUUUUUGCUGCUGGCCCCAAUAUCGAAGGGAGGAGAAUCUCUGUUCAACAAGAAUCCCUCCAUCUUCAUCAGAGCCCUUGCAAACACACAGCUAAGAGCCAAACUGCACAUAAUUUGUCAGAUCUGGGACUGGAAUUCCAAGCAUAUUCUCCUUGUCCUUAAAAGCAGACCAGUAGAGGGAAAUGUAUUGGGAUCAUGACUUCUACCCUUUCCCUAUGCUGAUUCUACAGUGUGAAUCAUCUUAAAAAGCCACCACUGUUACUGGUCACAGAAGGGAAAGCAUGCAAGACUUUAUGCUUUUCCUUCUCCAACUAGUAGUGUUUGUGUGGAUGUAUUUCGUAUUGGAGAUUGGGCACAGUAUGGAAGCGUUACCCCUCCCUCUGCAUCAUGGCCCAGUCCCCAUUGUUCCCCCCAGUUGGUUUUAGAAGAAGAAAAAUAUAUAUUGGAGAUGCAGUCACAGCUCUCCCACAUAACACAUAGGCUAAAUUGCACAGUAUGUCUCCCAGCCCACCAGUCUGGCCUGUUUUGUGGAAAGGCGCAAUUUCAUGCAUCUUCUCCCAGUGCGCUGGCCCUGCCUCCACUAAACCACACUUGCGUUACAAGUGGCUCGCCUGUGCUUCCCCAGUCUUCCCACAUCUGCUAAGUGGUAUUGACGCCACAUCUGGUAAGCCAGCACUGCCCUGUUGUCCACUGGGAGAGCCGCUUCUGAUAUACAUGAGGGAACAGAAUGCCUGUAUGCUACCCACAUGCGCACAGUUCAGUGUGAAUAGGCAAACACUAAGUAGUUGAUAUCCUUUUAUAUAUAUAGGAAAGCCAACCAAGUGAUUUUCACAUGGGGAAUCGAAGUUUUUAGAAAAUGAGAGAGAAUUCUCUUUUUUUAUUAUUAUUAUUAUUAUUUUUUAUUUAAUAUUUGUUUAUACAACAAGGAAAAAAAACACACAAAAAACACAAAUACCAAAUUACAAAAAUAACCAUAGACACAUAAUUUUCUUGGCAAACAAUAAAACAUCUAUUGGUCUUAACACUAAAGACGCAACUUCCCGUCUAUUCCAUAUUUCAAAUUCAUAUUACUUAUUGCCAAUACACAUUUUUUUAUAAUUAAACUUAUUCUCAAUAAAUCUAAUUUCUUCUAUCUACCUAGCAACUAUUACUGAAGUUCCUCGAAUGCUGCAACAGAAUUUAAACUACUAUAUUUAUUUUUCAGAUAUUCUUUGAAAACCUCCCAUUUAGAAACAAAUUUAUUCUUUAUUUUUUCUGAUAAACCAUCUAAUUCGGCAUAUUCUGUCAGCUUUUGGAUCCAAUCUUGUAUAGAGGGGAUUUCAUUACUCUUCCAUUUUGCUGCGAUCAAAACUCUUGCUGCCGCCGUCGCAUAUAAAAAGAUAGCCUUCGAGAGAAUUCUCUUUGAAAGAGCUCCAGCCUCCACCCAGGACUGUAAAUCCCCAAAGUUUAGUUUAGUUUUUUUGCAAGGAAGCUGUGGCAGCUAAAUCAAUUUAAGUCUGUAGUGUAGAUGCAGCCUUCAUUCUCUUUGCCAGUUCUGCUUCAACCUAAAAUACUUGCCAUGAUAAGCUGUCAACUUCUGAGGGAGAUAAUGAAAGGACUGUUUAAAAACAAAUAGUCAUUAAAAGAUGGAAAAUGCAACAUCAGAUACUUGCAGGGGCUGCAGUAUAUCUGACAGACAUCUCAAUCACAUGCUCAUUAACACUGUAAUAUGCAUUGUCAUGAAUAAUGACAGACAAAUUGACUAAAAUGCAGACUGCCUGAAGGACCAUCUUCUAUGUAUGGAAAACAAAUACAGCUUCAGAUAAAAGAUAACACAAUCUGACAUGAAGAUAAAGCUGAAUCUGUCAAUUCCUAUGUCUAAUGAAGCCAAAGGGGGCUGCAUGUUUAUUGAAUUAGACAGAACAAUGGUGUCAAAAGAAUACCCUGCAGAAAACCAGUGCUGUACUACUGUUUAAGCAGAAGACUGAGUGCUGUUGCGUCCCUGCUUAGGGUCAAACUAAGGGCCAGGCCAGUUGCUUUACCCUGCGUGGCCUAUCUCAUGCAGGGGAGCGAGCGCAUGCAGUUCCUGCCUGUCCCCUCAACGCACCAGCUCUGCAUUAAAAGGUAAAGGUACCCCUGACCAUUAGGUCCAGUUGCGGAUGACUCUGGGGUUGCGUGCUCAUCUCACUCUAUAGGCCGAGGGAGCCGGUGUUUGUCUGCAGACAGCUUCCGGGUCAUGUGGCCAGAAUGACUAAGCCGCUUCUGGCGAACCAGAGCAGCGCACGGAAAUACCGUUUACCUUCCUGCCGGAGUGGUACCUAUUCAUCUCCUUGCCCUUUUUGGCAUGCUUUCAAACUGCUAGGUGGGCAGGAGCUGGGAUUGAACAACGGGAGCUCACCCCGUUGUGGGGAUUCGAACCGCCGACCUUCCAAUCAGCAAGCCCUAGGCUCUGUGGUUUAGACCACAGCACCACCCGCGUCCGCAUUACAUGUGUUCAAUAGCUCUCUGACAUGUGUAAUGUCACACUUUUUCCUAAAUAAGUGCUGUACAAGUCCUGUCGUGAGGAAAACAACAAGUUUACAAAUUUGCAGUCCUUCCAAGUAAAAAUGGUACCAGCCACCACUGCUUAAGAGUAUGUUGUGUGCUUAAAGCCCUGUUCACACAUUCACUCGAUGGCUGUUGUGAAAGAAUGAGUCUUUGUAGAUUUUAGAAAAACGCUGAUUUCCUGUCACCCACCACAUAAUACUUUUCAGAGAAGUCCAUUUAUAUAUUCGUUCAUCAAGUCUUGAGUAAGCAAGGGCCGAGGGAUUAAGGGGUACUGGUGUGAACAGAUCCUGCUACACCAUGCAUAUGGCAGUGGAUGUGGUACAUGCACCUCAUUGACCCAUUAGCUGUGCUUUCUCUGUUAUUUAAAAUCAAGUUAGGAUGUCAGACUAGACUAUAGUGAUAUCCCUUCUUUCCCCUGAUUGCAGAGGGAGAAGAGCAAGUGAAACUGAAAGCUUUGAUUGGCCCUGUAAGAAAGCUGUCAAUGGCUUUUAUAUACAGUACUGGAGUCAAAGUGUCCCUCGGAUUUCACAUUACAGUGGUGCCUCGCAAGACGAAAUUAAUUCGUUCCGCGAGUUUUGUCGUCUUGCGAUUUUUUUCGUCUUGCGAAGCACGGUGUCGGGAAAGUUUUGGAAAAGCUUCAAAAAUCACCAAAGUCUUUAAAAACCUCAAAAAAGGCUACCACAGCGCGUUCUAUGAGUUGCUCCUCGAAGUCAAGUCGCAACUGUAUUAACGGUGUUAAGAAAAAGGAAACAAACUUGCAAGACGUUUCCGUCUUGCGAAGCAAGCUCAUAGGGAAAAUCGUCUUGCGAAGCAGCUCAAAAAACGAAAAACCCUUUCGUCUAGCGAGCUUUUCAUCUUGCGAGGCAUUCGUCUUGCGGGGCACCACUGUAUGUAUAUAUGGACUUCUGCCUGGAAAUCAUGAUGUUGUGUUCGGGGGGGGGUCACCUUUCUUGUUUUGAGGAAGUCAGUCUGUUCACAUGCUAUAUCCCUACUCUCCCGUACCCGGACCACUUAACCAAGUCUGAACUGUGUUUACAUAAGAUAGCAUACAAACAUGACUUAGUUGGCGGCUGACAGGUGUUUUUUGUUACACCCUUUAAAUCAAAUCUAAUCAAUGUCAGUUUUCCUUUAUAAAUAGCUUUUCAAAUGCCUGCCAGUUUCUUUACAGCUCUUUCAGUCUCUUUGACGAACGUUGUCUCAUCUUUUGCACCUAAUGACUAGCUUGAUUCAGAAAUUUGAAAAUAUGUCCAUUUUCUUUUCUCACCACACUUGUUAUGCUGCCAGUCUUUCUAUCCUUCUGUUUACUUCUUAAGGAUUGCAUUCUGCUCUCUGUGUUUGUGUUGUUAAAAAAAUAUAUUGAAAAGUAGAAAGGAUUUAGGAAACAUAAUUGCUCUUUCAACCAUGCAGUUGAUAAUUUAUGACCAGAUGAGUGUAUUCCUUCACCUGUUUUCAUGGGGGUGCCCAGAUGAAGUAAUGGUAAUAAUACUUUACCAACAUAGAAUAUAGUGAGAGACAAUUCUAAGAGCUCCAGUGCUGAAAAUCUAGUAAAGGUAAAGGGACCCCUGACCAUUAGGUCCAGUCGUGGCCGACUCUGGGGUUGUGGCGCUCAUUUCGCUUUAUUGGCCGAGGGAGCCGGCGUACAGCUUCUGGGUCAUGUGGCCAGCAUGACUAAGCCGCUUCUGGCGAACCAGAGCAGCGCACGUAAACGCAGUUUACUGUAAAUCUAAUUAUAAUAUAACACUUGUUAAAACAAUACUGUAUAAUAAAGGGAUUCCUUUCUCUGUGUUUGUCAGUGCUUCUGCACUGCACUGUAAAGUAAUGUGAAGAUAAUUGGAAUAAUAUAUGGGAACCUAGCAUCUCUCCCCCAAUAGGCACACAAACAGAAAGUUCCUGUGCUGUGAUGACAAAUGCUUACAUCAUAAUCUCCAAUUCAUUUAGUAGAAAAGGUAACAGAGCAUGGCUGGGAAAACAAUUGUUCGGAAGUAUGGAAGAUGCAGUCCAGCAUCAUCAUGUUGGUUAGAGCAUGGUGCUCAAAAGAGCAUGGUGCCGAUAACCUCAAGGGUGCAGGUUCCAUCCCCACAUGGGACAGCUGCCUAUUCCUGCAUUGCAAGGGGUUGCACUAGAUCAGGGGUUGGCAACGUGCGGCCCGUGGGCUGGAUGCAGCCCACAAAGACUGUUUUACCGGCCCACGAGCUGCCCCCGAACUCAGCUGCCCGCUCGGAGAGUCCCCUGCAUGCUGUGCUAAACUGGCGAGGUGCAGGGACUUGCCAAGCGGUGCCGGAAAUCACGUCUGCGCAUGUCCGGAUGCCGAAAAUCGCUUCUGUGCAGGCUUGAUUUUUGGCAUCUGGGCGUGCGCAGAAGCCAUUUCUGGUGCCGCAGACAUGCGCAGAUGCGAUUUCCGGCAUCACGCUGCGCCAGUCCGGCCCACAGACGAUCUCCGUGGGAGUUAUCUGGCCCACGGCCGGUAAACCUUGCCGACCCCUGCACUAGAUGACCCUCAGGGUCCCUUCCAGCUCUAUAAUUCUAUGUUUCUAAGUGUUGUUAACCACACAUGGCAUUUUUCCCUUAUACAGAAUACAGUCAUACCUCAAUGUUACAUCUGCUUCAUGUUACGUUCUUUCAGGUUACGUCCAAUGGCGACCCGGAAGUACCGGAAAGGGUUACUUCCGGGUUUCGCCGCAUGCGCAGAAGCGUGAAAUGAAGUCACACGCAUGCGCAGAAGCGGCAAAUCGCAACUCGCGUGUGCGCAGACACGCCGCUGCAGGUUGCGCUCUUUUCAUGUUGCAAACAGGCCUCUGGAUUGGAUCCCAAUCGCAACCAGAGGUACCACUGUAAACGUUUUCAAGCUUUUCACAGAGUCAUAGUGUGCUGUGGGAACAGGACCAAACCCAAGUUCUUGUUUGAGGAUUCCUUUUUAAGAGUCUACUUUCACAAGGGAAGGGUUUGUCUUAGAAGAGGGAGAGGAUGGGGUUGCCAUGGAUAUCUCAAAAAGGAUGUCAUGGAUCUGGAAAUGUUCAGGAAAGGGCAACCAAAAUAAUUGAGGGGAUGGAGCAACAUUUGGGACCUUUUAAGUUUAGAGACAAUACAAGGGAGAGGUGACAAGAUAGAAGUUAAUGGACGGCAUGGAGCUUAAUCCUUUUCUGCUGAUGGUUAAGCAUGUCAUUCCAAGCAUUAUAAUGUUUAUUAUUAUUCUUAGUUUAUUGGCCUCUUUUAUAUAGGUCACUGUGGUGUGUUACAGUUUGUGGCACUUCUGUAGGAAAUGCAGUAUGCGUCUUCUGUAGCAGUUGUCUCACAGAGGUUGAAUGAGAAUGCUCUAAAGAGACAGUUGGGUUUGUGUGCCUGCUGUUGGUUUUCAUCACUGGAAUUGUUGGUGGUCUUUGAAAGCUACAGUCUUCAGGCUGCGAUGGGAAAAACAGAGACCUUUCAGCAGAUCCAUUAUAAGGUCAGUGCAAUACCUCAGAAUGUUAGCUGGAAAAUGUCUGGUAGUUCAUCUUUUCCAUAUCCGUAGCAGCUUGUGGCAAGCCUCUCUCUGUCUUUCAGCUGCUCAGUCUUGCAGUUUCAAUAAUUUGAUAAUUCUGAAUUACCUUACAAAUGUACAGAUUUUCAAAGAUAAUAUAUUUGAAGCACUAUUAACACUCAAAAGGUGCUAUGGAGGUAAUGUGGAUGCUCAGUCCUGCUUUGAACUUCUUGAUCUAGUGAUUUGCAGAACUUGUGGUGAGGAUUUCCACCUGUCAACACACACUUAUUUAUAGACUUCUUAAACUAAUGGAUGCUGCUGAAUCACGAGGAGAGCGGUUAACCUCCCUCCAUUCUAUUUUUCUCUGUCUUGGCAGGUUUGCGUCAUCAUCAAAAUUUUUAAAAAAUGGAUUCAUAUACCCCCUUGCAAUUUAAUGUUGCAGGAGAGGGCUUCCUCUUUGACACAGUAAUCACUAUUUUAAAAAAGAAAAAAGAAAUCCUGUUUGUUGAGUAACUGUCCAAAACUACAGUAUCAUUUCAAGUGUCUCUGAGUAUUAGAUAUCAAGUUAUUGGCUCUCUUGAUUUCAGCCUCAGCAAAUCUCAAGCAUUACUUGACUCCAUCUCCAGAGUUCGUACAGAGGCUUAAGACAUGGAAUUAGGAAGACUUUGAAGUGGGGUCAACCAAGGAAAUUUUUCUUGGGAAAGACUUCUUCCCCACUAUGGGGCAUGUGUAAUAUAUAUAUAUUAUUAUAUAAUACAGAGAUAGAGAGAGAGAGAGAGAGAGACCCCAUGAAAUACUUUUCUCACAACAAACAACAAGGUAAUAUUAUAUGAAUACUGAUAAUAUUAGAAACAAUAAUAAAAAUGAAGUAAUGAGCUAUUUAUUUAAAAAGUCUGUUUUUUUCCAGAAAAUCCUAAAAAAAAAACCACUUUUGUUUAAAAUUAGUAUUUAGAACUUGAACGGUAAUCAGCUAAUUUAAUUGAUUAAUAAGUGCCCCUCAAGUAAUAUGUGCAAAUAUGUCUAAUUCCCAAAGGAUCUCCUGGAGAGAUGGUCUCUGCCUUUGGCUCCUGCAGAAAGCAGUGAUCCACUGGAUAUAUAAGGGGUGAGACAAUCUUUAAGGGUUCAGGGUCCCUAAUUGGCAGCCAGUAGUUUUUGAAACAGUAAAGCGUUAAGCAAUACAAAAAAUGAGAGAACAUGGGGUUAUAUCAUAAAUAGAAAUUAUAACACUAAGAUAAAUUAGUAUAAAAUCCAACACUUCCAAUAUUGUAAGUAAGCAAAUAAAUAAAUAUCACAUGAUUAAAUCUGUCACACGGGAAAAACUUUUAUAUUUACCAAUCUCCAAUUCAUAUCUAAUUCAAUAAAAGAUGUUGUAAGUGGAGUGAUCUGCUUAAAGGCAAGGGUGCCAUAAUUGAUAGCUGUGAGUUUAACAAUAUGUGUGCAUUUCUCUGGAGUCAGAGAAGGAAAAUGAAACAAUGCGGAAAAUUUAAACCUCCUUCUAUAUUGAGAAUUGGAGCAAAGUUGUUUCCUUCUCAGAAGCAAUGCUAAUGGUCCAUCUUCUCUGUUAGAUCUUUUCUGGAAUGUGCUUCUAUUUCUGUAAUCUGCUGCCUCAUCAAGUCAAUAGGCCUAAUUUCCUUCUGAUUUUUAGGAACCAAGACAUUUGAAAUGCAUUGCACUACUGUUAUCAUUUUAGAUUCUGAUUCACAUACAUCUUAUUCUUUAAGCCAUUAUUUUACUGUUUUUACCUUGAAGCUAUUUGAAUGGAAAGUUGAGAAUACAUAUGAGAAUGAAAUGAAUAAAUAUUUAUUCAUUCUUUCCCCUACUUUUCAAACAUACAGCAAAGAGCUGCUGCUGCUGUCAUGGUCUACAAUGAACCUGAUAUGAUUUGGAACAGAAAAAUGCAAUCUGAGCAAGCAUGCCUCAGCAAAAUUUGAAAUGAUUCAAUCAGGUUCUUUUAUCAGAGUUUAUGUACUUGUAUAGCUAUUGAAGUCUUAGAAUAUUCUAUUUAGUUUGCUGAUUCACCCAGUGACAGCCACAGAUGUGCUUGUGAAAUGAAUGCAGGCAGCUUCGCUAGCAUUUACAGUUAGCUUAACUCGUUCUGCCUGCAAAGCUCCCUUUGUCUUUAACAACUGCACCAGAAUCUGAUUUUCAACAGGUGAACCUUUUCUGGAAGAUUUCCACCUGCUGAAUUGCUUGGCACCUAGCUGUUGAAGGAAUAGACAACCUGCCAGAAAACAUUAGCAUCCUUAUUUAUAGUUUGAGCGUCUUGAAAGGGCCACUUGGAGUCUGCUUCAGCCACUGGGGACUUCCCAUUAAUCUGAUGUCUUCUGGGGUGAUUGAGAAAUCAGAAACUGUGGAAGAAAACUCCGCAGCAGAAUACUUGCUUUGCACAAAGGAGGUUCUGGGUUCAAAACUGCUGAUGGAGAUGAACAAGUGGCAUUAAAGACUUUUGGCAGAGAUCCUGGAGGACAGCUGCUAGUAGAAUAGACAUUUCUAGACUAGAUGAACAAUUAGGCACAUUCCUCUGGCCAAUGAUAACUGAAAACUUAUGCCAGAGUAGUUUCUACAUUCAACCUCUUUCUUUGGCUGCACAGUCUUUCUUGUUCACUUUUGGUCAGUUGCUCUUUCCCCCAACUUUCUUAUAUACAUUUUGCAUAUUAUAAUUGCUGGCUGUUGUUGAUAUUAAAUAAUACAAUACAUUUGGCAUAUAAUUUAAAAUGUUAUUAUAAUGUUGCUCAUUUAGUUAAUCGUAUUUUAACUGUUUUUUUAUAUUUUUAAACCAUCUUAGGAAGGUUUUUGCACUCUAUGGGGCACAAAGAUGUUUUAAUCAAAUACAUUAUGCCCCCCCUUUUAUCACCUACACAGCCAAACAACACAACAACAUGAACCCACCGGCAGCAUACGAUUCAAUAUGGCUAACUUAACCCAAUGCGGGUGGCGGGACACGGGUGGCGCUGUGGGUUAAACCACAGAGCCUAGGACUUGCUGAUCAGAAGGUCGGCAGUUCGAAUCCCCAUGACGGGGUGAGCUCCCGUUGUUCGAUCCCAGCUCCUGCCAACAUAGCAGUUCGAAAGCAUGCAGUGCAAGUAGAUAAAUAGGUACCGCUCCGGUGGGAAGGUAAAUGGCAUUUCCGUGCGCUGCUCUGGUUCGCCAAAAGCGGCUUAGUCCUGCUGGCCACAUGACCAGGAAGCUGUACGCCGGCUCCUUUGGCCAAUAAAGUGAGAUGAGCGCCGCAACCCCAGAGUCGGCCACGACUGGACCUAAUGGUCAGGGGUCCCUUUACCUUUAACCCAACAACAACACCUCUCACACAUGCACAAACAAAUCCCACUGUAGCCAACCAAAGACAUUCAAUAAUACCUUAGGCCUUAUACCCCAACCUCUCUCACCACCAAUGAAACAUAACAAGCGAACAGAAGGAGUACCUACCCAAAUGACGCUGACACAAAACCCCCAUGCAUACACUACGUAAAAGAACAUAAGCUCCCCUCCCCUUUCUUCUGAACCCUAUACAGUCAAACCUCCGUUUUCAAACAUCUCAGCUGCCGAACGUUUCGGAAGCCAAACGCCGAAAACCUGAGAGUGAAUGCUUCCUUUUUCAAACGCGCCUUGUAAGUCGAAGGGCUUUCGAGGCGUGUUUUUCAUUUUUCCCCCAUUGACUUUGUAGCCAGCCCUUUGAUCCCUGGUUUUCGAUCGUUUCGGAAGUUGAACGGACUUCCAGAAUGGAUUACGUUGGAAAACCAAGGUUCCACCGUACUGCAUAUAACACCAGUGUCUCACAACAAAUGUAACUGAUCUGUAGAAAACACAACCUGAAGGAAGAGACGAUGCAUGUGCUUUUGUAAACGAGGAAAAUCUUUUAUUACAUUUUAAGUCCUGCUACCCAUGUCUGCUGUGUAGGGACCAUCAAUACUAGUGCCCAACUUUUUCAUUCAGUUUCUUUCACUUGAGUGCCUACCACAGUGCAACUGAAUUCUGUGUGUGUGUGUGUAAGUGUUGUGCUACUAUUGUAUAGGGGCUUCAUCUGCACUCCUUUUAAUGUGGGAUUCAGUUCAAUAUUGAGAACAUUUUCUUUCUCUUUGCUGGCUGAUAUAGUGCAAUUGGAGGGCAGUACGUUUGACUGUUGCUUUUGCAAUCUGGCUCUUUACAUUUUACCCGAGUACUCUGCCUACCUCCUGGUGUUUUUUGGUUUGAGGUUUUGCAGAAAGAUUGGUCUACAUGGAAUUAGUAAAUUAUUAUUAUUAUUUAUUAAUUUGUAUACGGCCCUUCAUCCAAAAAUCACAGGGUGGUUCACAACGUUAAAAAAACACAACAUAAAAUACAUAAUAAAAAAUAAACAACAGCAGACCUGACCAGACCAAACCAAACCAAAAUCAUCCCACCCACAGAAAGGGAUAGUUGGGGUAAAGCUUGUGUCUUCUAGGCUGGCUUCAUCUGUAAUAUAUUUCCAUCAGAAAUUAAGAACUAUCUCUAACAUUUGUAACUAGCAGAAACACCAGGUGUUGGUGUUUCAAGAGCUGAAAUCACCCAAGAUGAACUCUGUCCCAUUUUGUUCUGGCUGUUUGUCUAUAUUAUACCAUGGACUAAUGAACAAUUACAGAAUUAUGCAUUGAAUGACCAAUUCUUGUCACAUCAAAGGAUUUGAAGCCUGCCAAACUGAGUUAGAAUGGAAAAUGUAACCACCAAAUUUUUAUGUGAAAUGUAAGUUGCUGACUAAUGCAAGUGGGUAUCGUAAGAUGUUUUCACACAUUGCAGCUUGAAAGGUCAGUAAUCAGAAUGAAACUGCAAAUGAGGCCUCUCCCAGGACAUUAUUACUGUACUAAUGGGCUAAUAAAGGCCUGUGUUAGAACUGAGAUGAAGUUACUGAAAGAAAAGCAGUUACUAAAACACAAUAUUCAUGAGAAACCACACGUUAGAUCUGAGAUGUAUUAUCUUCUUUACUGGGGGAAAGUAAAUUGAGAAAAUUAGUCGCUGUAGAGAUGUAGGGGAGCUGGAUACUUGGCUUCAACCAUUGCUCAUUGGACUUUUCAGAUGGACUCUGGAUAAAUUGUAAGUUAAGCUUGAGUGCAUAUAUACAAACUUCUCUCUCUCUUUGUGAGGUGUCUUGAAUCCUGAUCUUGUGAGAUUUUCUAAUAUUUGCUACACCCCAUCAGAACUAGUGUUGGAAUCAAAUGCUUUUCUUUUUUGAAAAGAAAAAGUAAGUGAGUCAGCUUUUGAAGUUCUAGGACUCAUGACUGAUAAAAGUGUGCCACCCUAUGUUACAUUUUCUGUCAUCAGACACAGUUCUGGGUAAAUUACAUGGACUUUGGAGGUUAAAGAAGGAAGAUACACCCCCCCCCAAACUUUGAAAAUGAAUAGUGACCUUUCAGAGACUUUUGGAAUAACAAAUUAACAUGAAAUAGUGAUUUUUUAAAAAUGUAAUUGAAAAGAAGAAAAGACAGUAGAGUAUUCUUUUCAGAUUGCUUUGUCUAUGUUUUGUUUUGCACUGUCUUGUUAGUUGUUUGUCAUGUCAGGUAUUCGUUUAAAUAUUGAUUUGACUGAUUGUAUUUCAUUGUCGCUUUCCAUUCAGAUGAGUCCCAGAGCUGCUUGCAAAUUAAACAACAGCAACAUAGCUACAUCACAAUUUACAUAAUACAUUUAACACGUCAUCAAUAAAACCAUUAUACUUCACCACAAUUGAUCAUACGAGCAAAAGCAGAAUCUAAAAAGCAAGCAGAACAUUAUUCCAUUAUUCCUCAUAGCUCAGUUAUCGUUCUCUCUGAACAAUCCUUCAAAAUCCACAGCCAGCAUGCAAGAAGACCCUGAUCCAAUAAAUAUACUAACAGAACUGUACUAUAACAAGCACCCAGUUUCACACACACUAGUCAUGUGUCUGGAUGUGUGUUCCUGGGCAGCAGCCCUUUUCUCAAGCUUUUGCAGAGAGAUUAAACUUGACACGCUCUCCCUGAAGAAUAGUACCAUUUGCCCCCACAAACAGUAGCAACAAAGGUGGUGAUAUCCUUGUAUAGACCUAUGGGCUGGACAUCCAACAAAUACUCUUCUCAACAGUUCUCACACAGCUAUUGGUGAUUUUAUGAGGGGGUUUUUGGGGGGAGUAAAAGGUAAAGGUAUCCCUGACCAUUAGGUCCAGUCGCGGACGACUCUGGGGUUGAGGCGCUCAUCUCGCUCUAUAGGCCGAGGGAGCCGGCAUUUGUCUGCAUGUGGCCAGCAUGACUAAGCCGCUUCUGGAGAAACCAGAGCAGUGCACGGAAACACCGUUUACCUUCCCACCAGAGCGGUACUUAUUUAUCUACUUGCACUUGACGUGCUUUUGAACUGCUAGGUGGGCAGGAGCUGGGACCGAACAACAGGAGCUCACCCCAUCAUGGGGAUUCAAACCACAAGUCCUAGGCUCUGUGGUUUAGACCACAGCGCCACCCGUGGGGGGGGGCAGAUCUCCCUAAAUGUGUUGUGGGUUUGUGCCAUAAUUCUUUGAUUUAGUAAAAGUUAGAAUUAAGCAAGGUUUGGUUAACUAUGCCAAACGUGGAAAUUUCUGAGGUUAGAUUAUGCAAACGAAUCCGACUAGCUUAGGAGGGCCAUCUGUGUGCGAGCUGUUAAGGAAUAAAGCAGAGUACAGUGGUACCUUGGGUUACAUACGCUUCAGGUUACAGACUCCGCUAACCCAGAAAUAGUACCUCGGGUUAAGAACUUUGCUUCAGGAUGAGAACAGAAAUCAUGUUCCAGCAGCGCAGCAGCAGCAGGAGGCCCCAUUAGCUAAAGUGGUGCUUCAGGUUAAGAACAGUUUCAGGUUAAGAAUGGACCUUGGGAACGAAUUCACCUUCUUUUCAGAGCCACAUAAGAGCUGGGGCAGAAUUGAUCAAAUCUGGGUCUCAAGAAAACUCACAUUAAGAACUAUAAAGUGUGAAAUCCAACCUAGAACCCUCUCUGAUCAUAAUCCGAUAGUUUUCGAAAUAAAAGGCACAUCACAGGGCGGGUUCAGAUGGAGAUUGAAUGAAUAUUUAUUGGAGAGUGAAGAUGUUGUUGAAAAAGCCAAAGCCACCUUAAAAGAUUAUUUCAGCCUGAAUCUUAAUAAAGAAACAAGUAUGGAUAUAGUCUGGGACGCCAGCAAGGUGGUUUUAAGAGGGUUUUUUAUUCAGCAAAACAGCUAUAAGAGGAAAGUAAGAGAACAAAAGAAAGAGGAAAUUCUUAGUCAGCUAAGAGAAUGUGAGAAAAUAUUAACAACAAAUCCGAAAGAUGAACAAAACAUACAAAUAAUAAAAAUGCUACAAACACAGUAUUCAAUGUUAACAAGUCAAGAAAUUGAAUGGAAAAUUAAGUUAAUGAAACAAAAAUAUUUUGAGUCAGCUAAUAAAACAGGUAAAUUAUUAGCUUGGCAAUUGCGAAGAAGGCAAAAACAAAACGUGAUAAACAAGAUAAAAAUAGAGGAGCAAUUGAUAGAAGAUCCAAAAGAAAUAAAGAAAAAUUUCCUCAAAUUUUAUGAGAAGUUGUAUAAAAAGGAAGACGAAGAGAUAACCCGAAUAGAAAAAUAUUUAGAAGAUUACAGUGGGAAGACUAUAACAGAGGAAGAAAGAACUCAAUUAAAUAACCCCAUAAAGGCAGAAGAGAUCCAAGAAGCGAUAAGGAAGAUGAAACCAGGGAAAGCCCCAGGACCGGACAGAUUGUCAGCUAAAUAUUAUAAAGUAUUAGAAAACCAACUAACGCCAGUGCUAUGUGAUAUCAUGAACAACAUAUUAAGAGGAGGAAGGGCACCAGAGACAUGGAAAGAGGCUCACAUUACGAUGAUCCCUAAACCGGAUACGGAUAAAUUAAAUAUUAAAAACUACAGACCCAUAUCACUAUUAAAUAACGAUUAUAAAAUCUUCGCGGAGGUGAUGGCAAGCAGACUUAAAAAAUGUCUAGUAAAUCUAAUACAUAAGGAUCAAGCAGGAUUCCUUCUAAAUAGGUUACUUAAAGAUAAUGUAAGGCAUACCAUAAACAUCAUUGAAUAUUUGGAAUGUAAGAAUGAAGUACCUGCGGCGCUGAUUUUCAUCGAUGCCGAGAAGGCAUUCGACAAUGUUUCAUGGCAGUUCCUAUUAAAAAGUAUGGAGAAAGCAGGGCUAGAGGGCGAGUUUAUGGAAGGAAUAAAAGCAAUUUAUUCGAACCAAUCUGCUAAACUGAUUAUAAACAAUAAUCUAACAAAUUCAUUUAAGAUUGAAAAAGGAACAAGACAGGGAUGCCCUCUAUCCCCGCUUUUAUUCAUUAUGGUACUAGAGGUAAUCACGUAUAAAAUAAGAGAUUCGAGGGAUUAAAAUAGGAGCGAAAGAAUACAAACUAAAAGCGUACGCAGACGAUCUGAUGUUAUCCCUAGAAAAUCCGCAAGAAAGUGUUAGUAAGGCCUUGGAGAUGUUAGAAGAAUUUGGCAAGCUAUCCGGUUUUAAAUUAAAUAAACUAAAGAUAAAAAUUUGACUAAAAAUUUGGGAAAAGAUGAAAGAGAAAAAUUGGAGAUACAGAAUGGAAUCAAGGUGGCAAAAAAAAUAAACUAUUUGGGAAUUUGGCUAACUACAAAAAACAUAAAUUUAAUUCAGGAUAACUAUCUUACAACAUGGAAGGAGAUUAAAAAAGAUCUAGAUACGUGGAAUAGAGUGAAACGUUCGUGGACGGGAAGGAUGGCGGCAAUAAAAAUGAACGUACUCCCAAGAAUGUUAUUUUUGUUCCAAAAUAUCCCAGCGAUCAGAGGCUCCAAAAUGUUUACAGAUUGGCAAAAAACUCUUUCGAAAUUUAUAUGGCAAGGGAAAAGACCGAGAAUUAGAUUUAAAUUACUUACAGAUCGGAAAGAAAGUGGGGGAUUCUCGGUACCUAAUCUGAAAUUAUACUUCGAGGCCUCCUGCCUCUGUUGGAUCAAAGAUUGGAUUAAUUUGGAAAACACUGACCUGCUAGACAUAGAAGGCUUCAACAACAGAUUCGGUUGGCAUGCCUAUUUGUGGCUAAAUAAAGAAAAGGUACAGAAAGGUUUUUCAAACCAUAUUAUUAGAGGGCCACUAUAUGAAGUUUGGGAGAAAAACAAAAAACUUUUAGAAUGGAAAACACCCUGGUGGUUAUCGCCAAUCAACAUUUUAACUACUAAAAAAGCAAAUAUGGAAGGAGAAAGAUUGACCUACUGAUAAGAUCAGAAAGCGGAUGGAAGAUGAGAACAUAUGAGGAGUUGAAAGACAAAUUAACAGGCUGGCUGCAAUUCCAUCGAAUAAAUGCAGCAUGGAAGGAAGAUAAAAAAGUAGGGAUAAAUGAGAAAAAAAUCUAAAUUUCAGAUAGAAAUAAUUGAAGGUAAAUCCAAGUUAUUAUCCAAAAUGUAUAACAUACUAUUAGAAUGGGACACCAAAGAUGAAGAAAUAAAGGAGGUCAUGACAAAAUGGGCAAUGGAUUUGGGACACAAUAUAGAAUAUGAUAAGUGGUUGAAAUUAUGGACUAGUGGAAUGAAAUUUACGGCAUGUGUCACACUCAGAGAAAAUUUGGAAAAGAUGAUGUAUAGGUGGUACAUCACACCGGCAAAAUUAGGGAAAAUGUAUAAAACAGGAAAUAAGGCCUGCUGGAAGUGUAAAAUCAAAGAAGGCAAUUUCUACCAUAUGUGGUGGACAUGCGAAGAAAUGAAGAAAUUCUGGGAACUUAUUUAUAAUGAGUUAAAAAAAAUAUUUAAAUACACUUUCCCCAAAAGACCAGAGGCCUUCCUAUUAGGAAUAAUUGGGGAUGAAAUUAAAAAAGAAGAUAAGACAUUAUUCCAGUAUGCUACAGUUGCUGCUAGAAUAUUAACUGCACAAAAUUGGAAAAGUCCAAACACCCCAGCGAUCAGAGAUUGGCAAAUAAAAUUAUUUGAAUUUGUUGAAUUAGCAAAAAUGACACAAAAAAUCAGAAACCAAAAAAAUACAAAGUUUAUUAGUGACUGGAAUAAAUUUAUGGUAUACAUUGAAGGGAAUUAUAGAAACUUAAAAACUAUAGCAGGUUUGAUAUAGAUCUUACGAUGCGUAAACCAUUAACAAUUAACAGCUGCAGGAAAAAGAAAGUAUUUUUAUUAAGAAGCCCGAAAUCGGGAGGGAAGGAGGUCAAUAGGUGUGUAGAGGAAAGAUUUAAAUAUUUAAAGAGAUAAAGAUUUAAGUAGGAAGACAAAUAACUGUAACGGAAACUGAUGUUACUUCUGUGUUAUGUUUGGAUAUCUCUUCUGAAAUUGUUGAUUUGUUUUUUCUUUUGGUUAUUUAAGUGAAACUCAAUAAAAAGAAAUGGGAAUGAAUUAAGUACUUAACCCAAAGUACCACUGUACUUGGUCCAUCAAUGAAAACCAUCACAAUGACAGAAGACACCCUGCCGGUCCAGAAGAGGGAUGUUUCCAAGGUUACAGGGAACCCCUUCUUUGCUGGGUGCUCCUGGAUAGAGGCAAAGGCUAGGUUCAGGGUUUCAACUUUGAAUGACAUAGGUUGUGAGGAGGUCCCCAAAUCAGGCAAGAUAAACAAAGGUACAGUUUCAAACAGGGGUGAUGACUGAGCAUCCUUAAAAUGUCAACUGCCUCCUUACUUCUGAGUAGACAUGAUUGCACUUACAUUUUACAUUGACUCACUUCAGACAUAAUGAUUUUGGUUCAACAAGACCAAAGUUUGUAUUGUUGCAUUUGCACCAAGGUAAAAUAUGUAAGCUAGGAUGUUGUUUUAGGCCAUGGAUAUAGAGUUCCAUUCCGGUGGUCAACCCAUAAAUCACUGCUUUUGGUUAGAGGUUUAUAUAUAUUUCAGUCAGAAUUUAUAAGAAAUGUAUACAAUCCUGCUGAAUCUCAGUUAACAGCAUCAAGUGUUUUACCUUCCAAAGGAGUUGUUCUCUUACCUUGUUACAGCAAAAACAAGAGUCUUGUGGCAGCUUAAAAUUAUAUCACGGAAGAUCUGCACAUUGGCCAUUUACAUCAUCAGUAACUGGUGACCACACAAUUAUCUCAGGUUUGCUUUGUUAAUUAAUUCCUGUACUUGGAAAAGAAAUCAUUUCUUGAUUCAGGCCUAAACCACCAGACUUCCUGAGAAGGACUCAUUCUGCAGUUUUUCACUGGAGUUUUCUUUUUGAAGUCGGUUGCUGAAGAACAGCAACUUUUAAAAACAUAGUACUUCUAUUUUUGGUACUAAAUAUCUAGGCAAAGGUUUAUUUUAAUACAUACUUCUUUUCAGCUCAACCAUGUACAAAAGGGUUUUUGCAAAGUAUCAAGUUGACAUCCCCUAUCAAGGAUGGUAAUUCUGAUAAUAGUUAGGAGCUAAAAACGUAAGAAAUGUUGAUGCUCUGAUGCCCCUAACCCUAAUCUAUUACUCGCUGGAGAAGCUUGCACAUUUUUCUAUACAGAAAUCUUACAGUUUCUGUCAACAGCUUUCUCCCCUCCCCAGUGCAAUUGUUCCAGAGCUUCUUCCCACACACUGACAACAGCCUGUUCCUCCUACAAACCUGUUCUUUUCAGAGCUACCACCUACCCCCCCCCACCCCUUAUAUUAUUAUUAUUUUUCUACUGUAGUUGGAAUGCAGCUAAUUUCUGUGAUAACUGCAUUGCAAAACAUAGGCUGAAUAAAAUAUACACUGAAAUAGCAGUUGCUGCCACUCUUUUGUCCUUCAUGGUGAGACUGGAUUGCUCCCAUCUUGGCAGUCGAAUUGGCAGAUGUAUUUACCAGCAAUUCCAACACAGCCUUGCCCCCAAUCCUAUGCCUCUGGCACCCUGUCUGCCAUAAACAUGUACAGAUAACACACACACACAGAGAGUCCAUAGAUGAAUGUAACCAAUUAAUUCUUUAGUCUCCCUUUUUAAACAUGGAAAAUCGAUUUAAAGAAGAUGCAAAACUGCUACAGGGGAGAAGGAAUGAAAGUGAUGUUGCAGCAGCUUCCUCACCAAUUGGGCUUAUUGGAAGGCCAGAACAAUAUUUCCCAAACUUAAAAUACAGUAAUUGUGUACCCCUUUUGAGAGUUUAGUCUUCUUCCUGGGCGAAGAUAAUUUGGGGGUAAAAUUAAAACUAGUGCUUCAAAUUCUGGUUGUAUUAACAGAUGUUAUAUUUUGCCAGGUUUUAAUUAGUAGAUACCAAUUAGUAGAUAGGAACCACAUUUACUCCUCUGCUGUGACAGUGAGUAUAUUAAUUGCCUUUUGGAGCUUUUCCUGUGACAUGUGACAUCAGAAACAAAUUGCUGGGGAAGAGUUCUGUGUAACUCAAAAGGUUUGCAAUCUCCUUUAGUGAUGAUCCAACCAUUUUAACCUUCUUGGUACCUUCUUCCUCCAUUUCUGGAAUGUGUGGAACUAACUGUCUAAAAGAGUUAUUACAACGGAUAAAAUAUGGCAAUAUUUCUAGCUGCAUUUCUUUCUUGGCAUCGGCCCUGAGAACAGAGUAUAUGUUAGUGGUAUCUUUGAAGGCAAUUACUACAGAAAAUGUUAAUUGGCAAAAUAUUUUGAUGGGGCACAAAUCUCAUAGUUACAGUGCAGCAUAUGAGGAAAUGUCCCAAAGGGUUUUCCAGGUGUUUACUGCCCGGGAGUGCUGCUCAGCAGGUAUGCAUCUUAUUAAAAUUUCAUAACAUUUCAUGACCUUUCUUGGUACAUGGCUCAUGAAUCUUAUACAAUAACUUGCAGCAUGAGGCUUGAUCUGAAUGAUCCUAGAGAAAUAAUAUUUCCAGUGAUACCGUAACUGACAGAGAAGGAGCAAGAUGGAUCUUUUAUAUGAAAUGUAUGGAGUGUUUAUAAUAGGAAUAAUAGUGAACAAAUAACAUCUAGCAACAAAGGCAAAGAGAAAAACAACAACAAAUUCAUCAACAUGGUUCUGUUGCUCAGAAUAUUGUAUCUGCAGUUAUGAACCGUGCCCAGAACAAGGCAGUGUUCAAAAGGAAUAGUCAACUUGGUGCCACCCCCCUGUUGUUGGGCUACAACUUCCAUCAUUUGCUAUGCUGGUAGGGAACGAUGUGAGUUGUAGUCCAAAACAGCUGGAAGGCACAAUAUUGGCUACUCCUAGAGAUGCUGUUGCCCUACGAAGGGGGGAUCUUGUUUCACCGGUUCUUCAAGCCAAAGGAAGACAAACAGUGUGUGGAGAGAACUGUAAUCCUGAACACACUGACCAGUGACUAAAUUUCAUCAACCUCAAUGGAAAUUAUUUCAGAGUAAACAUGUAUAGGAUUGUGCCGUGGAUAUUUUACUGUAUUAUCAUUUUUAGAUUUAACCAGCCUUUCCCAAUCAGGUGCCUUCCAGAUAUUUUUGACUACAGCUCCAAUCUUAACUGACCAUUUGCUGAUUGGGAAUGAUGGGAGUUGUAGAUGGGAAAGGAUGUGUUAGUCUUUAGCAAGGUGCCAUACUACAUUGCUGUUUUGUCACAGUAGAGGGAAGAGGUAGCAGGGACGAUUUAAAGCUUGAAUAUGAAGAACAUGACACAGAUCUAGCCUAAUUUUGCAUUUGAGGAAAGAAUGACGUGCCAGUUAUUUUUUAGUUUCAGUUUAUCUUCAUUUACAGAGAUCUGGUGAGAAAUAAAAAUGUCAGAAUGCUCAUUUUCAUCAGUGAUCAAUACGUUAUGGGAUAUCUCAGUGUGUGCAACAAUAUGAAAAGGGGGUGGGCAACCCACCCGUUGUGCUUUGGAUCUUGGAAGGCGGAUAUAUUUUACUAACCGCCCUUGAUUCAGCCUGCGUCACUUGACUAGUAUGUGUGGGAUCACACUCAAAGCAUUUGCAAAUUUGUGUUGAGGCAGAAAGAACAGAUUUAUUUCUCUGCUGUGAGCAAUGCUAAUAGCUCUGAUUGUGGAAGACUAAAUUCACUGUGAGUAACAUGUGCACAUGACAGGAUGGAGGCACAAGACUUGAUGGGGGGGAGUUUAUUCUCGCCUUUUGUCUCUUUGGUUUGGUUUUCAAAUUUUAACAUCCUAUAUAAGAAAACCAUUAUUUUUACUAUAUUUGUAUUACCCCACCCUGAUAUCUGUUUCCUAGGUGGCUCGCAAUGUUAAAAGAAUAAACACUAUAUCAUUUUAAAGCAACACAAAGUGUGGUUUCUGGCAGAGGAAAGCCUAAAAUGCAAAUCAUAAAUUGAUACGCCCAGGUUGUAAAAAAAUACACAAGUUGUUUUAGAAACCUUUUUAGUGUUGGGAGGCCUUUGGGUCAUCUUUGCUGGCACAAGGCAACAGAUAAAAUAACAAGACGUUGGGCUAGAUCAGUGGUUUUCAACGGAUGGGUCAUGACCUCACAGCUCCCAUUGGGACUAUUGCUGUUUUAUUUUUGUUUAAAGGGUUUGAGAGGAGACAAGAAAUAUGAAAAAUAUACUACAUCACGUUGCAUACUUGAACAGGUUCACCAGUCGGUUUCAGGUUGCGUGGCUUAUCAUUUCUUGUUCUCUCCACUUUUCUCUCUCAGAAACUAUAUACAGUGGUGCCUCGCAAGACGAAAUUAAUCCGUUCCGCGAGUGUCUUCGUCUAGCGGUUUUUUUGUCUUGCGAAGCAACCCUAUUAGCGGCUUAGCGCUAUUAGCGGUUUAGCGGCUAUUAAAGGCUUAUCGGCUUAGCGGAUUAGCUGCUAAAAGGCUAUUAAAGGCUUAGCGGCUUAGAAAAAGGGGGGGAAGGGGAAAAAAAUCUCAAGACUCGCAAGACAUUUUCGUCUUGCGAAGCAAGCCCAUAGGGAAAUUCGUCCUGCGAAGCAACUCAAAAACGGAAAACCCUUUCGUCUAGCGGGUUUUCCGUCUUGCGAGGCAUUCGUCUUGCGGGGCACCACUGUACCUGGAGGCAGAAUUUUAAAAAUAUAGUAAUGCUCUACCUUGAUAUUUAUUAAUCACUUUUUUUACAAAAGUGACCCAGAGUGACUUAGAAACACGCUACAACCAAGUGCAAAAACAAUCAAUAAAACACUUUAAAAACCCUUAACAGUUUAUUCUUAUUCAGUUACAAAAGGAAAUUUACUCUCUCUUUUUUUAGCAUACUGCUGUUGAUCUUGUUCUUUUCUUUUUUGUGGGGAACUGUUGGACUUUUGUUUUUACGUUUUGCAAGAUGGCCAGGGGAUUUCCCCCUAAGAUCUCAAGCUAGAAAACAAAUGUUCUGAUCUAAAUUCUGCUCAGAUGUUUGCUGUGAUCCCUCUUCAUAAAAGAAAUGUACAAACAGUCUUGAACACAGAUGGCUGUGGCUUUCACAGAUGGUGACUGCCUUGAGCUGAUGUUAAGAAUUUGAGCCACUUGGCUGAUGACUCUGCUCUUAUUUGUCUGACUAGCCCAAACCACUUAUGGAGUUGCAGAAAACCAUAUCUAUGCACACACAUGCUUGACCACACACAUACAGGGUGUAGGGAACCUAUGGGGAUAUAUAUAUGGCUCAUUUUGUAGGAAUACAGAAGGGACAUUUUCUCCUUUGGAAUACAGAUAAUAAGAGUAUAAUGAAAUUCAGUUUUUUGUCCAUUAGUGAGUGGAACAGAAUGACUUACAACAGAAAACUGGAGGGAGAUUGAAUGCACAUUCAGGCCACAUCUAAUCUAUCUGGAACUGUGUACUUGUACUAAAAUAAAUAAAUAAUAAAAUUCAGUACUGAGGAAGAUACUGUGCCAAGAGAAUCUGAAUUCUAUCAUCUGUAUAGAUUUGUAUUUUCUUCUUGUUGUUGUUUUUCCCCUUUGCCAGUCAUGGGAAGGGGACAGAGUACUAUGAAGGGCACUGAGGAAGUCCUGAUGACUGAAAUUAUACUCCUCAGACUUUUGGGAUUGUAGCGUACCUUUGGAGCCAUAAGGCCCCAACACUGCUUUUUUCUAAAAUGAAAUCAGAGAUAAGAAAGAGAGCAGCCUAUGCCAUAUUCAGCAGCAUGCACACCUAGCCCUGGGGUUUCUACCUCUGGCAUGCCAUUCAGAUCCCAACAGGGCGCACUUGCAGAACUAGCACAGUCUGUGCCACCAUCACAACUGAUUUUGCACAGUGUACUUGGCACUGGAGGAAGAAUGGGGGCAGGGGGAGCGCACCACCCCCAGCACCAUCAGGGAGGGGUACCAUCGCGGCCACCCCCUGACACAUGUCAUGCACCACCCCCACCGCACCAGGCACCAUGCCCCUGUGGGCGGCAUGCCACACCCCCAGGAUGCACACCACGCCCCCUGGAUGUGUGCCAGCCACACACACACCUGCUCUCCGCCCCUGGUGCUGGAGCGUGCAUCUUCGCCACUGGUACUUGGGGCUGUCCUGGGAAAAUGCUGGUGGCCUGUCCAGUUUAUCUCCACCAAACCCAGAAUAGCCCAUGUACACUUAGCACUAAUAAAUGACUGAACUGACGAUCAGUCUGUUAAAGGCUCUGAAUAUAGACAUAUAUUGAAGAUUCACCUUGGCUUCUUAAAAAGGUUAUUCUCUGGUACGGAUGAUGACCAGUUUGCACAGGGGGUUCCAUCCCUGGCCCCUGUGUGUGUCAGUGGAGUGUGCAUGAGUGUGUCCCACCCCGUUCUGCCCUGAUUCUGUUCCAGCCCUGUUCUUCCCUCUUCUGGGUCCAAAAAACCUGGUGAUCGUGCAACAUUUCGACGCGCCUAAAAUGGCCUUCACCUGUACUUAAUAUCUAGACACCUUGUAUGCAUCCUUCCAGCAACUCCUGCAGCCAAGCUGGUGCCAAACAUACUACUCUGCUUUCCUUUGGAUUACACAAGUGAGGCCAAGAGAAGGGUCUUGUAUCAUGUCAGUGUAUCAUGUCAUGUUCUGGAUCAUUGCUAGACCCUGUCACUCACAAAUGUGGAGUAUUGCCCUCAGGCUUUUUUCUGACUACCUAUUUCUGGGGAUAAACAACAGGGAGGUAUUCUUGCCCUUGUGCCCUGCUUCUAAGCUUCCUGGAGGACUGUGGCUUGCUUCUCUUCCAAACAGAGUGCUAAACUAGAUGGAUGUAAGUGGCUUUCCAAGGCCACAAAUAGAUAAAAGGCAAAAAUCAGAUCUGAGUCCCCAAAUGCUAAAUGAAUCUACCAAACCAAUAUUUAAUUGCUACAAAACAAAAAAAGUAAUUCAUUUUCCACCCUGCCGUUGUCUGAAAUAAGUUUUCCUUUAAUUUAUUAACUCCUCAUAUUUAUUUCCCCCACAAUUUAUCCCCUGCAUGCAAUUGAUUUCCCCUUCAGUUAAUAGCGAAACAAGUCACAAACUAUCAAGCAAUGCAGGCCCGGUUCUUCUUGCAGGAGACAGGCAGUGCCAAGCCAAUUACAGUGGUUGUUAAUAAAACAUUAUUAGAUUAGCUUUUUGCAAUAGGAAAUAAAAAUAUAAAGUGCUGCAAUAUUUAAUAAUUCAAUUUGCCAUAAUUUUGCCAGUUUCUGGGAAGCCCACAGAAAUAUAGGAAUCGGCUCAGUUUAUCCCUCUAGCAACUGGUAUUCAGGGGUGCACUGCUACUCAACAUGGAGGGUCAAUUUUGCUAUCACUCAUAGCCAAUAGGCAUUGAUUAAUCUCUGCGCCACAAAUUUAUUUAACCCAAUCUCCCUUUCCUCCACACUGCAGCUGCAAUGACAGCAGCUUCCAGCUAGAUCUUGUGCACUGCAAGAUCUCACAGGAAUCUGCUACCGCUGCCAGUGCUUCUUUUCCCACCGGAGGAGAUGGGGAUGUGUACCCAUAGGGGGGCUGCCUCUUGGGCUUCCAGCCUGCCUCAUGGGUGGGGGCAGCCCUGGAUUUUCCCUUCCCCAAACACCAUGUACUGGCAAGUCUAUUAGAGAAACAGAUUCUUUUAAUAGGAUCCUUGCUUGUUUAAGUAAAAAAAAAAAAGUUCAUGACAUGACAAUUAAUGUCUCUGAGAAUUUUGAUUUCAUAUAUUGGAAGAAAUUCGAUGUCGUGCUAAGCUAAAAGCCCCUUCGCAGAAUGGCCUGUGCAAGAGAAGCCGCAGGAAUGCGCUUGAUGUGGAUUGCCCCAGUACUUCCCAUUGCACAACAGACUUUUGCUAGUUCAACUGUUGUGCUGGAUUUCACAUUGCACAACCAUUAUUCUCACCCUUACGCUAUAGCACAACAGCUCUUGUUCUGACAGUCAGGGAACGUAGAAUCCAGGCCAAUGUUCAAUGUUCAAAAUAAAAUCCUUAGUGUACAUAUUUGGAUUGCCUUUAGCACUUGGUACUUUAUUCCAAAAGAAAAGAUGGCCUCCAAAAGUAGCUUUGCAUUUCCACUUUGGAAUCAGGCUUAUCCCUGGCAAGGCAGCCAAGCAUUGCAAUAAUUGUUAGGUGUGAACAUAGCAGAUACGUUGUGUCACUAUUUUGCAGCCCAUUGGAGUAUGGAAAACUUCAGUACAAAUUAGACACCAUCUCUUUUCAUUUAAUAGAUUUGUUCCUCGGACAAGGUGCUGUUUUUGAACGUUAACUCUUUAUGUGUGGUUUGUUGACGGAGUACACAGUUUCAUUGCGGGAAACAGAUUAUUCAGACCUGCAAGAUCCCACUGAAAUUUAUCCCUAUAGUUUGAGCAGCGAGCUAUAUACUCCUCCAUGGAAUCUGAGAGGCUUGUUGUGCAUGUCUCCAGCCCUGAUAUAUUAGUGUGGUUUCCAUGUACCUGCAAAGAUAACGCAAACUUCAGUUUGAAUUUUCACUGGGGAAAAUCAAUUAUUUAGUUUCAAUAACCACAUUAUGCUCUAGAGAGCCAACAUAUUCACUCAGUGUUUUAUCUGAGCAAAAUAUCAUUGAAUUUGGUCCUACGAUAUGCUAAUAAUUCAAUAUGCAUUAUUUUGUUAUCUAGCCAGUGAAAAUUAUUUUAAAAUGAUGAAUAUAUCAUUCUAUUCAUCUUUCAUUUCCAUCCUUUUCCUGCUUUCAAUAACAUUUUUUUUUAUAAAACUUACACAAUUUCUUUUUUUGAUUAUUUCUUGGGAACAUGAACUUGAUGGUCCUAUAAGAAAUCUAAGAUAUGGGCACCAUUUGGCUGCCAGCUAAGCUGAUUUGACAGUAAUACAAGUAACCACAUUUUUUUCCAUUAGGAAGAACAGUCAGCCAUGUCUAUUCCAUCUGUUCCAAGUGCUUUUGCAGAAAAAAAGAUCCCCUGGCCGUACAAAUAAUGCAAAAUUGACUCGUAGGUGGAAGUGACUUUCAUUAAGUCAUAACCCAAACCUCUGCAUUAGAAAUUAUUGCAAGAGAUGGGAAGACAAAUCAAACACUUAUCUCAGUAAAUGGCUUUACAAAGGUGUGUCCCUGCUUCACAUAAGAAAUAAGAUUUAGGUAGGAUACAAUGUGUUCUAGCACCAGCCAAUUAAAUUUAGGCUAUUGUGUAAGAAAGCAGCAGCGAUCUAAUUGGUGGGAUACGACUGCAGAAUCCUUCAGUCUUGUCAGCAUUUCUAAAGUCAGUUAAAUUUCAUGAGCUAGUGUGACGUAGCCUGUUUGCGUGCUGAGGUCCCCCAAAACACCCCUACCCCAAUAACUCAUAAUUUUUGUUUAAGGUUUUUGGCAUAAUUUUGGCCACAACUUUAUUGAACAUACAAAUUGUGAGUGGUUGCUUAGGCAUUGGUUAUGACUAUCUGUCCCCCCCCCCCCCCCGCCUUGGGGACAGCACUGACUCCCGGAUUCCAGCGAAAGCCAGUGUGGAGGAACAAGAUCAGGGAUAACUGGAGCUGCGGCACAGACCCUCAGCUUCUCCCCGCAUGCUCCCAGGGGCUUAAGCGGCCCAAACCCAAUUCCAGGUGUUUGGACGAAAGGAUGGUCAGCCCCUGAAUUCCUUUAACGGAAUUCCCGUGCAGCAGCAGCAUUGGAGGGGCAGGCACAGCCAAUCCAUACCCCUCCACCAACCAAUUUAAACCAGUGCCUAACCGCCAACCUUACAAGUUGUGACGAUUUGCUACGCAGUAGGCAAAAACCAAAUGGCACACACUAAUCAGCCAAAUGGAAAAAUUCCUACCAGGCCCCUGCACCAAGGCAGACGACCCCAUGACAGGCAUAGCAAGGUCAAAGCACAAGCCCAAAACAAGGGAGGGAGGGCGGGUGAUCCGGUGCCCACAGCAAAAGAGAAAGCAGAUUGCUGUGAGCAUUGCUUAAAUAACCUCUGUUGCCACCUCCAAAUUGGCAACAUCAAUUUCACCCCAGCAACACCAUCCACCAAUCCGAGCCGGGCCCCUUCAACCUAUCCUGCCUGGCAACUACGGGGUGUCUUGCCUGGCCCCAUCCGCAACACACGCUCUCCUUUAAUUGAGAACACGCUAUAUUGAAUCCAGGAUACUACAACAACUUCCUUGUCCAAGCCAUGUGCUUUGACGCCCACCUGUUAAUUUUCUAACAGGUAUCUGCUCAGAGACAUAAAUUAUACAGUGUUGUGUUAAAAGUGUUAAAAAUAAAAUAGACUGCACUCCUUCCUAAAUAUUUCACAUGCUGUAAACGAUACUUUGUUGGGUUUUAAAUAACCAAACAGCUGUCCUUUUUUAAAAGCUACCUCCCUGUAGGAUAUAACUGAGGUAUCUGUCUGUUGGUAGCAAAAUGACGAGAGAAAGAGAGUCUACCUUGAGCUCUGAAUUGACACUUUACUCCAGAUAUUAUAGAAAAAUAUUUGCAAAGAGUGGAAAGAGCUAUGUUUGAAUUCUGUGAUAUAUUUUAAAAGGUGAUGAGCAUUGCAUAUAUAUAUAUAUAUAUAUAUAUAUAUAUAUAUAUAUAUAUGGCUGCACUCCUAAACACAUUUGCCAGGACAUUCAUUAAGUACAGUGGAACCAACUUCCACUGUAUGUUGUUGUUGUUUAGUCGUUUAGUCGUGUCCGACUCUUCGUGACCCCAUGGACCAGAGCACGCCAGGCACUUCUGUCUUCUACUGCCUCCCGCAGUUUGGUCAGACUCAUGCUGGUAGCUUCAAGAACACCAUCCAACUAUCUCAUUCUCUGUCGUCCCCUUCUCCUUGUGCCCUCCAUCUUUCCCAACAUCAGGGUCUUUUCCAGGGAGUCUUCUCUUCUCAUGAGGUGGCCAAAGUAUUGGAGCCUCAGCUUCAGGAUCUGUCCUUCCAGUGAGCACUCAGGGCUGAUUUCCUUCAGAAUAGAGAGGUUUGAUCUUCUUGCAGUCCAUGGGACUCUCAAGAGUCUCCUCCAGCACCAUAAUUCAAAAGCAUCAAUUCUUCGGCGAUCAGCCUUCUUUAUGGUCCAGCUCUCACUUCCAUACAUCACUACUGGGAAAACCAUGGCUUUUACUAUACGGACCUUUGUUGGCAAGGUGAUGUCUCUGCUUUUUAAGAUGUUGUCUAGGUUUGCCAUCGCCUUUCUCCCAAGGAGCAGGCGUCUUUUAAUUUCGUGACUGCUGUAUAGCUCUGCACUAAGUUCAUAUUUUACCUAGUCUUUUGUUUGAGCAGUUCCUCUAUAUGUGCACAUAAACACAUACAUACACUGCAUAUUGGUAUAUUUAUUUAAAGGUGCUGUAAAGCGUGUGUCUAACCCUACACUGUGACUGUAGUAGAUUGGGAAGAAAAACCUACAUCGCUGAGCACUUUCAUUAUAUGAAUUUUAUCUGUAGCGAUACAUCAAUGCAUAUAUAUAUAUAUAUAUAUAUAUAUAUAUAUAUAUAUAUAUAUGUAAGAUUGCCAUCAUGCUGAUGUUUGCUUGGCCAGAGAUCGGUUCUGCUGCUGCAAACUACAGUGUGGUGGGCAGCCAAGACAAGCCAUGGAGGGACAGCCAGAACAGGCUGCAGCAGUCCCCCAGCUCCACGGGUUCCUCCACCUGCUUGGGUUGCCUGCCUUCAGAAUCCAGAUCUCUACAUUGGCCAGUGUUGCUCCUUGAAAGCUGCUUCUGCCCUGGCCAGCUUAGGGAUCCGCUGUUCCUGCCCCUGCCUCUACCUGGACAAUUUGUUGAAGAGCACUGCAUAAAGAAGAAAUGUGGCUUGGAGUGGUAAUCCACUGCUGUAGCCGCUGAGACUGAUCCAUAGGCCACCCAACUGCACUGCUGCUCCUGCCAGGUCCAUCUCCACUGCUUGGCUGUGCCAUGAGAUGGAAAGGAGGCAGCUGAAGACUUCUUCCCCCAACUUCUCCUUUGACCUCUAACAUCAGGGGGGAAGGAGAAGCGGGAGGACAAUGGCAAAAGGUUGGAAGCAUCAGUGUGGGCAGGCUUUGCAAAAGCUCUGAUAGUUGGUAUUUUGACAGGUAGGUGGAGCAAACCAUCUGUCAGCCAUGGGGCACCAUGUGCCACUCCCACCUGUCAAAAUCCCAGUGUCAGAGGUUUCGCAAAGCCCGCCCACACUGAUCCUUUCAAGCUUUUGCAUUUGUCCCUCUGCUGCAACUUCCUCCCUGACAUUGGAGGUCAAAGCAACUACAAAAAGGCAACUAUGGAUCAUGUGUUUCAGAUGUGUUACAGUAUUGCUUGUGCUGUGGUGUGUGAGAGACAGAGCGGGUGGGGAGGGAAAUUAGAUGGGCACACAGGUUGAUACUAGGGUCGGCUAGACCCAGGUUGGUAAGGCAAAUUUUCAGAUCUUUAAUCAUUCAGGGCUGAAAGGUGGGGUUGAUUUCUGCUGCUCUGCCUUGGGAAGUCCACUGACAGCCUACCCCUUUCUGCCACUGUAGAAAGAGGUCUGCAGCUUACCAUGGCCCCUUAGCCACUGCCCCCGGGAGCAUAGGGUUGCUCCCUUAGUUUAGUGUUUGAAAUGCGCCAAGCUCCAGGAGCAUUUUGUACCUAGCUAUUGGCCACUUGCGACCAAGUGAAGAUGUCCGGGUGUGAGGAUGGCGCAAGACGUCUCCACCAUUUGGAGGUGCAUGCCUGGAGAUCCGUGGAACUUGACUGUUUACACACACACACAUACCACAUCCUGUAGAAUUCUAUCCAUUAUAUUUUGUCUGCACAAUCAGAAUGAAUUUCAGAAACCAAAAAGUCAUAUUGAUAAAUAUAAUUUUAGAACCGUCUGGCCCCAAAAUGGCAACUAGGCAUUCCAUUUUGGCAUCUGUAACCCUGGGUUAAGGAGCCAUUUGGCACCAAGCUUAUAUAUCUGAGUUUCUAAUUCUGCCUUAGUUAUAUUUUGAAUGUUUAUUUCCUGCUGCACUUACUUGAUUUGUUCCGAAGUCUAUCACAUGUGAAUUUUAGAAGGAAAAUUGAGACUUCUUUUGUUUCAUUUUGCUUUUAAUCUGCCCUGAGUUUUUAGCUCACUCCUAUGGUUCUAUAUUAUUUCAGAUUGACACAUUCUUGUGUUCUUGCUGCUUUUCUUUAAAAAAUACUUUUAUGCUCUUGACUUUUUUGUAUUGAUUGUGAUGUAGCAUUGAUUGUGGCAUUGUUUACACUGAAAUACUUUUCUGUGUUUCUGGGCUGAAAGGUGAGGCAGAUUUUAAGAAGUAAAGAAAUGGUAAAUUAAUAUGGAACUUCUGGACUGGAAGAGUGGUAUACUAUGAAAAUCUUUAGGGAAUUCUCAUAGUGUACUGAUAUUUUCCUGUGAAAAAGUUACUGUACCAAUCAGUACCCUGUGUUUUGGCUACCAAGGGAGUGCUAAUCUUCAGCAAAUUUUAUUUUAAUUUUCUGUCUCCUCUAGACAUUUGGGUUGGAGCACUGCAAUGUUACUGAAUAAGCAAAGAAAUAAGCAAGUAGGGAUUUCAGGCUAGACUAAUUCUGUGAAAUCUUAUUUCAGUAAAGGUUCCUUUUUGGAACAUAAAGUUCAGGGCUGCAAAUCAUGAGACCUUUGAAAUAUGCUAUCCUCAUAGAAGAAUACUUGUGCUUUUCUUUAUCAUGUUUUGAUUUCCAAAUAAAUCCCAGCCUCAUCUGACUUCUUCAUUGUCCCUAAGGGAAAUUAAUCAACAAAAUGCAAUCAUAGUCUAUUUCGAGAAAUUAAACAAGGCCUGUGUGCAAGAUAUAAAGGCUGCUCUGUGUACCCUUAGAGCAGCCAUACAUAGGUAAUGAUUUCAAGCACUCUCUGUGUGGCAAUCCCAACUUAUAAACCAGCCACAUAGAUUUUCAGCACUUACCACAAUAGUGGUAACAGCAGUGGAUGGAUUACUGUUAGGGAUGGAGGUGUGGAAUGGUAAUGAAUGUACAAACUGAAAAAUUAAAUGUAUGUUGAUAUUGAUUUACCAGGGUCACAGUAACCUUGGGAACCUUUCUUGAAAGAUCUGUAGCUCACUUUUGAGAAUUCAAAGGUAUCAGUAGGGUACUUUAUCUGAUGAAAGACCUUUUCUUUAUUUUCACAACACAUUGAUAUAACUUGCUUUUAUUGCCUUGGCUUGAAAAUUGGAACACACAAAGGCUGCUGUAGAGAUAAUAUUCUCUAGUGUUUGAGAAGUUAAUUGUGUUUAUCUCUGGCAGAAUUUUCCUUUGGACUCCCAUUGCCCUUUUUAAAUAAGCUCACGAUAGAGUUCAUAGAAUCAUAGAAUUGUGUAGUUGGAAGGGGUACCAAGGGUCAUCUAGUCCAACCCCCUGAUGCGAGCUGGAAUCCAACAACAUUAGGAGCGGCAAAGAUCCUGAUUUAGUCACUGCACUGCCCCAACAUCUUCACAGCUGUUAUCGCUUUCUGGAUGUCUGGCCUAGCUAGAUUUGGUGACAGGAUUUAAGAGUUCGCACCACUGUUAUGAAUUAGCAUUGCUAUAAAAGGAGGACUGAUCCAACCAAUUCCGGCAAUGGCACACCAUAAUUAUUUAGGGCAUGUUACUAGAAGAGAGGGGCAGAAUACACAUUUUUCACUGUUUCCUGGUUCACAACGAAUAUUGAAACAAAAACUGAGGCCAUGAGACACAUUAUAGACACAUGGUGUUGUUGUGUGCCUAGUCUUAGAGACAACUGAACAUGGUGUGGCCUUCUCUGAGGGGACCAGGCAUCCGCUACCACUGACCCAACAGAGUCAUUUAAGGAGGCAGAGGUGGUCUGAUUCCACCUGCAGAAUCCCAGAUACUUUUGGGUACGUAUACAUUUCCCAUAAUGCGGCUGCUUUUAUGAAAAUGCUGAGUACUGCACAGGAGGGAUUAGGCCUCCUUCACAAUCCCCAGAUUAUCCGUCUCUGCUAUGCAGGCGCAGCCUGUCUGGCAGUGUGUCCCUGGCAUACAUCAGGGUCAGCAGUUGUCUUAAAAAUUGGAUCCAUUUUGCCCUUCAGCAGACUCUGCAAGUGCCUGUCUGGAUCCUGAUUGGGACCUUAGGGAAGGGCAGGUUCCUAACGCUACUAGCCAAAUAAUCUGGAUAAAUUUGGAUUUCAGUGACAUUCAUAAUUACUACUGCCGAGUAAACCCCGAGUUCAGAGUAAGAAGAUUAAAGUAUCAAAAUAUAUUCCUUGGUUGCUCUAUUUUUACAAAUUAACCCACCCACUGAUGUUCAGUAUGCAAACUGCCAUUUCCCUGUAAUCAAUGCUUCAAUAAUUUAUCAUGUAAAUGCAUGCAGUUUUCUCAUUCCUGAGAAUAGGCUUAAAGGUGUGAGGUUCAUUGUAUCUAAUUUGGAACCAUUUUAAUACAUUGCUGCUGCCACUAUUUUCAGCUGAGAAGGUAUCUUCAGAUAUAUCACUGUGUUUCAUUCGUGAGGCAAGAGGUGUCACACAACAAUAGGCAUUGGAUUUGAUUCAGAUGGGAUAAAAUCUAAAACUGGAGCUUCUCUGUGUUUAAACUGUGCUAUAAGACGUAAACAGGUCCCCAGUCUUUGCUGGGGCACUUCACACAGGUAUUCUGAAAAUCCUGAGCUGCAUCACUGGAAAUCUAGGGGGGCGGGGAAGAGAUCUUGUAUUCCAGAGAUACAGCAAUUAUUCACACUAUCAGUUUUUUCCACAGCUCCUGUGAUGAUAUACCAGAACAGUUUCCAGUCUUCCUUUAUUGUAGCCAUGAUCAGAGUUCCCCACCACCAACUUGGUGGUUUUUUUUCCUAGUAAGAUUUUUGUUUUUGUUUUUCUUUAGUUGAACAUAAGCGUAAGAUAGCUCUCUAGUUUCAGAUCCUCUAUAUUGCUUAUAAGAUUCUUGUCGCUUUUUCUCUUUAGCUUGACACCAUUUCUUUCAGGUCAACUGUUUGCUCUUUUUAAAGGGGAAAAGUUCUUCAUUUAUGCAACUGAUAGCCAGAUAAUUGUGAAAAAAACUGUUUUUAAAGUAUCACAGGCUUGUAAUCCAUUUGCUUUCUGCUCUUAGGGAAAGGUUCACACAGUGCUUUUCAUGUAACAAAAAGUGAUUUAAGCCUCAACUGUAGUAAGGGUCGAUGGCUGCUAAAAAUCUGAAAGCCUAUCAGGAAAUUUACAUCACUAGGUUCUAAUGAGUGGGAGGUCAGUAUCAAUCCCAGAGAGUUUAAUGGGUCUUUCUCCCAAGCAAAACAUCUAGCUUUGCAGCCUUAUCUAUUAUAUUUUAAAGAUGUUCCAAAUGCAAAAAGACAGUAUAUUGUGCCAGGGAAAGUUUAUUUGGGAGAGAUAGCACCAAAAAAUAUCCUGGUGUUAAGAUUUUCUUCUCUUUUGUGCAAAAGACAUAGUCCUCUUGCUUUAGCAUCAAAAUGGAACUGUAUCUCCCAAGUCCCGCACUGUGCUGAAGGAGGAUUUAACGGAAAGAGAGGCAAGGCAUCUGCCUGUAAUUAUUCUAUUAAUUAUGCCUGGAUGUUCAGUUAUUCAGUUAAUGAGAAAAUUACCCCUUGCUUUAGGGCUCACUUACUCACUGGCCCAUCACCACCUUGUGGGUGGAGUAUUCUGCCACUGUUACAUAGGCUGAAAGCCUGCAGCCAAGAAUUGGCUGGUUGAUUCAGAUCAAUAGGUGACAUUCUUUCCUUGCCACCACCAGUGUGGUUUGGUUUGCCUGUUUUAACUCCGUAGGCCUAGAGACUCUGGAAAUUGGCAAGGAUACUUAGCACUUUGGAGGACCAUUUUGGAUACUGAGUCUUCUUCUUCUUCUUCUUUUCAAAUUUUUUUUAUUUAUUUUAUAACACAAAUAAAAAACACACAGAAAAGACAAACAAUACAAACAAAUUCUUGUCAUAUCCUUAUUUUUCUAAACAUUGUUAAGUGGGCUUCCGCAAUUCCCACCUAUCUGAUUUUCAUUUUACUUCAUCUUUAGCAGUUUAGAUAUAUCAUAAUUUCUAACCAUCUUUUUUAUUCACACUUACUUUAACCAUAAAAAACUUCACAUUUUAUCACUUAUAAAAUAGACUAUCUUCUACUUCUAACCCUUCCGCCUAUAUCCACUUCCAAAGCUAUUCUAAGAUUUAAAUAUUAACAUAUUUUUCCAAAUAUUCCUUAAACCUCUUCCAAUCUUCUUCCACUGUCUCUUCUCUCUGGUCUCAGAGUCUCCCGGUCAGUUUGGCAAGUUCCAUAUAGUCCAUCAUCUUCAUUUGCCAUUCUUUGAUAGUUGGUAAAUCUUGUUUCUUCCAAUUCUUUGCUAGCAAUAUUCUUGCAGCUGUUGUGGCAUACAGAAAAAAAGUAACAUCUUUUUUGGAGAUUUCACCCCCCCAUACCAAGUAAAAAGGCUUCUGGUUUUUUAAUAAAUGUGUUUUUCAACACUUUUUUCAAUUCAUUAUAAAUCCUUUCCCAGAAGUCUUUUACCUUGGGGCACAUCCACCUCAUGUGGUAAAAGAUUUCUUCUUUUUCUUUACAUUUCCAGCAUUUAUUAUCAUGAGUAUGAUAUAUUUUUGCUAACUUCACUGGUGUUAAAUACCAUCUGUACAUCAUUUUCAUCAGAUUUUCUCUUAAUACAUUACAAGCUGUAAAUUGGAUUCCUUUUUUCCACAAUUUCUCCCAGUCCUCCAUCAUGAUAUUGUGCCCCACAUCCCCUUCUUCUUCUUCUUCUUCUUCUUCUUAAAAUUUGUAGACCGCCCUUAAUCUGAAGAUCACAGGGCCGUUCACAACAUAAAAAGACACGAUGAAAACACAAAAUACAUAAUAAAAACAAAAACAAACUAAUAACUCCCCUCCCACAAGCAAAUUUCAAAGGCCGUAGUAUCUGGUUAUAGAGAAGCAUUUCGGCUAGUGCCUAAAGAUACCAGGCGAGCCUCCCUGGGGAGAGCAUUCCACAAUUGGGGAAGGGCCUAAAAAAAGGGGCCAUUCCCAUGUUGCUACCCUCCAGAUGGCACAACGGGGAUAAAAUGGAGGCAGCAAAAUGUGCCUUCUUUGGUGCCUUCACUGCCACUGGGUUGGCUCCAUGAUGGCUCAACCAGUUUAGAUGGAAGUGUGAAACUCUCUAAGGGUUGUCAAGCCACAUUGCUGCCCUGACUGUAGAAACCACAACUGGCAGAAAGGAAGCCUAUCUCCUGAUGCUGUUGCAGGAUGCAUGGGCCUAGAGAUGACCAGAUUUGGUGCCCUUUUCACUUCAAUUCAGUCAUGAGGACUUUAGAGCUACAAUCUUAAAUGGGGCUUACCCAAAAUCUCCUUCUCAGGGUCAAUAUUUCCAGAUUCUAGAAACCACCCUACCCAGCCACCAUACACUCAAAUGGUUGGAAAGCAUUAACAAGACAUAAUGAACUAAUUGGAUGUGUGUUAUGUACUCUGCUUCUUUCAGUUGGCACUGCAGAAUGUCUUUAAAUGUCAACUGCCCUAGUGUGUUUGCUUAAUGAGACGUUUUGAAUUACCUCUGCCUUUUAUGGGCGAACCAUUUUUUAAAAUAAUAUCACAGCUGUUAUCGAUUAGUGCUGAUAAGUCCCAUUUAUUUGCAGUAAAGGGGAGCGUGUUUCAGCACCAGUGAAAUCCAGAUGAUAGAGUGAUUGAAUUAAAAUUCUUUCUCCUUCCUCACAGUAAUGAAUUCUUGGUUGUAAUUACAGCUAAAAGGGAAUAUGGUAGCUAUUUCUGUAUUUCUCAAGCAUCAGGACCUGAAAUGCUGUUUAUCAAAGAUAAGCUCAGUUCAGUUAAUUUUGAAUUUUGUAGUUUCUUCAUAAUGGGCCCUGCAAGGUGUCCCUCAGGGCUAUUUGUCACUGGGUGGUAAGCCUGUGUCUUCAGAUUUCAGAUGCUCCUCCUUACAAAGACAUUGCUUGAACAUAGAAAGUAGGCAAUGCCUCUGACCUACCUUCUCCCUGACACACUCUGUAUGUGUGUGAGGGAGAUUUAUUUUUAUGAAUGGCAUAUAUUCUAAGUUAAAAAAACGCUCCUUGGCUUUUAUUUGCCAAUAGGAAAUGGUGGAAGAACACAAGGAGUUAUGAGUCCUUGAUUCAAACACUCUCUCCAUCUUCUCAGGUUCCACCCGCCAGCAGGAAAGGAGGUGGAAGUAGAAAAACUUGGAGACAUGAAGUAAUUGACCCAAAGGAGGGAAAUGACUCUCUUCUGGUUCUAAUGGCGGCCUUGGUGGGGUAGGGGGAAGGGAAGGGAAGGGAAGAUGGAACGACUAGUCUUUGGGUGGAGUCCCCAUCUUGAGAAAGGUGCCACAUAAUGCUUAUUCCACAGUUAUAAGAGAUACAUAUUUUAGUGUGGCAAGACCUACAGUUUGAAACUCCCUGCCUAUUGACAUUGGAGUUUCAUGCCUUCGCUGAACUCUUUUCAGUGACUGCUUAAAAGAUAUUUGCUUAGGCAAGCCUAUCCAGAAACGUGGAUGUUCAUGUGUUUACAUUUCUUUUACAGUUAUUUUUAAUUAUAUUUGAAUGUUUUUAAUUGCUUGUUUUAUAGAUAAUUUAAUAUUUCUUAAAAACCACUUACGUUUUAUUAGUCAAGUAGUAGAUAAAUGUUUUUGCUCCAGCUGCAACAAAACAUGUGUCUUCUGUAUCAGUCUCUACAGCCACCUUCCAACAGCUUGACUUCACCCCCAAAGGUGCACUGCUCCAUUGUCUCCCGAGACAGACAGAUGCCAACAACAAGUUAGUUAGUUAAUUAAAGGCAUAGCCAUUUCUUGUUUCUAACCAUUUGCCUUUUUCUAGCCUGUAUAUCUAUGUGAACAGAAACUGUCUGCAGCUUGUUUUUUGAGGAAGGGUGAACAAAUGGGCAAUCAGCUGUUGUUCUUAACCUCUUUGCUUGUGUGUCUCUCAUCUGCUCCCUUUCCUUCAUUCCUAGCUUUGCUUCGUCACGUUCUCUAUUAGAAAGAUGUUUCUCAUCCUUAUAAACAGACAGUCCACUUUAGUUUUAAUUACAGCCAACAAUCCCUUUCAGCAGCAGCAUCCUAAUGGCUCUUUAUACCCUAUAUGUGCAUAGAAUAAGGAAGCUCUCUUAGGGGAGAACGACCAGCCCACGUACUGCUAGACUCAGGUUCUCUGUGACUUGCUAGCAGAGCUGCUUUGGCACAGUGUGUGUGUAUAAUAGUUAAGAUACACAUGUCUUAUCCAUCUCUAUGUAUAUCAAAUAUCUAUGUAUAUAAGAAACAUGUAACCACACAUAUAUUGUAGAGGCAAUGGACAGGUUUAGCCUCCACACAUAUGGUGUACCCCUUUGCUUUCUCCCUUCAUUUAUACUUUCUUCCAUUCCAACUCUGGCCUGAUUUGCCAUGAAAAGGAGAUUCUAAAUGUUCACUUUUUAUUUACAUUAAUCAUCAUUUAGCUUUAUGUCUGAGCCCUAAAUUGUGGCUACUAUUAGCUCUGGUUAGUUGAUGCAAGCCAGCUUCUUAAACCAAGAUUUAAAGUAGGCUUGUUUCAGCUAACCAUAGUUUGUCUGGGUUCAGACAUAAUAGUAAGCUAUGGUUAGACCAAAGUAGACGCAGAAGCGUCUGAAUUCUUCCCCUGGCUGCGCUGGAGGAGGAGCAGGAAGUGUGUUAUCCUGACGCUUGCCUGGGCUUAUUCUACUAACCACAACAAAUUUAUUGUUAUAACUGAACAUGACUGACUCUCACUGAGGUUGGAUCCUGAAAUGGGAUACAGGCUCUAAUUAUGAUGGGCAACUUGCUAGCAAUGAAAAUAAAAGAACAAUGGAAAUGGCUGCAAGUACGAUAAUCAGCCAAUGCAGUUAUUCUUCUAGCACUCGACUGAUUUUGGUGCAGUUGGGAGCUCACACAUCAGCAGUACAAACUAAAAUGCAUUCAGUGGCUUGGCAUAUGGCAAAAUAAGGUCUUUAAUGGUUUUGCUUUUGCAGCACCUUUUAGGGAUGUGGUCUGACUAGAAGAUGUGACUUUGGGAUUACUUGCAGCAGGAAUGGCACUUGUUUGCGUUCUGUUUCCAAAUACGGGCAGAUAUGUCACUUACUGCUUAUCUUUCACUUGCAGCAAUAAAACCCCAAUUCACAUUUGGGAGACACAGCGUAGUAUUACCUGUUCCAGUUCUUCCUUGUAAUCUGCACAGACUUCCAGAGGGGGAAUAUAAACGACAUAAAAAGGGGCCUGGUGACGGUGAUAAGGACUAAUCAAGUUCAACACUAUGUUUCUAGUAGUGGCCAGCUGGAUACUUCUGGGAUGAAGGCAACUUCUGUCCCUUGUUUUUACACCUAGUAGUGGUAUUUAGUGCUGCACUGCCUCACUAGAAAGAAAACUUCUGCGUUAGCUAUGGCUGAUCCAUAGUUUCACUAAAUACUGAUAUAUAGGAUGGAAUGGUUGCUUCAGUAUACUAAUUUUAGCAAUUUCCAACUUCCAGCUUGGGGUGGCAUGUUCACCCACCUGUUACAAGCAGGAAGCCACUUCACUAUAUAUCAGUUGACAGAAGAAGAAGUAGUAGUUAUUUAUACCCCACCCAUCUGGCUGGGUUUCCCCAGCCACUCUGGACAGCUCCCAACCGAAUAGUAAAAACACAAUACAGCAUUAAACAUUAAAAUUUUCCCUAAACAGGGCUGCCUUCAGAUGUCUUCUAAAUGUCAGAUAGUUGUUUAUUUUUUUGACAUCUGAUGGGAGGGCUUUCCACAGGGCGGGUGCCACUACCAAGAAGGCCCUCUGCCUGGUUCCCAGUAACUUCGCAUCUCGCAGUGAGGGAACUGCCAGAAGGCCCUCAGCGCUGGACCUCAGUGUUUGGGCUGUAUACUCCUUCAGGUAUACAGGACCGAGGCCAUAUAGGGCUUUAAAGGUCAGGACUAACACUUUGAAUUGUGCUUAGAAACAUUCACUAGUUCAUUUGUGAGCGAAAACACCCAAUCUCAUGUGUGAUAUUUCUGAUUCUAGACUGUACUACAUUAAGUUUCAAGGUCUCCACACUGAAAACAAAAACAAAAACUUCUCCAUGUACAUACAAGUAUGUAACGUUCUAACCUUUGAAAUGAGAGGCUUUUAUAUGCAUGCAAGCAGUUUGAAACAGCAAAAUUCGCACUUUAUGAGCUUAUCUAGUAAGUUUCAAGGAGGAUAUAUAAUUAUGAAUAAGUACUGUACUUUUACACUGAAGUAAUUUAUAUUUACUUACUACUUGCGUUUCUUUAUAACAAGAGGUAAUUCGCAUAUCUCCUCUGCCCUCAAGGUCUUCAAUGCCAAAGUUAUAGCUCAAUUGCUCUAUGGAAUUCCAGUCUGGCUGCCAGGGUUUACCCAGCUGGUAGAACGAUUGCAGGCAGCUUUCCUUUUUAAGAUUUUUGCUGUCCCACGUUGUGUACCCUAUGCAGCCUUGUGUCUAGAGGGAGGUCAACACAAGGUAGAGACUGUAGCCUGGGCGAGUUUUCUUACAUGCUCGUUAAACAUCUGCCUCGCAACAGAUAAAGAUCCUCUCCUUAGUGAAGUUUUGCUAGAUCCCUUUCUUUCCCCAGGACUACAACGGUUUAACAUAAAGGUACAGCAACUUGGGCUGUCAGUGGAAUCUUUGUGAUCGAUGUCCCCACCACCUGCCAAGGCUAUAAUAAAAACUAGGUUGUGGGACAUUGAACGCCAGGAACUAACAGCAGCAGCAGAGAAAACAUGCUCCCCUCUUAACUUUCAACUUUCUUGGGCACAUGAAAUUAACCACAAUUAUCUCAAAUUUUUGCUUAAUCCUCAAGAAAGAAGGGCAUUUUCGCUGGCCAGGUUUAAUUCAAAUCGUUCCAACCUCCUAUGGGGAAGGUUCUUGGGAAUGGUGGAAGGAGAAAGAAUUUGCCCAUGUGAAGACCAUCAGGUGGAAACUCUUACACAUAUGGCUCUUAAAUGUAAACUAUAUGUUGAUCUCCGCCAGCAGUUCCUAGAUCUACUCUGCAUCCCCAAGUGGAAACCAGAGUUAGAGGUCAUACAUUUUCUAUUACUGGGGAAUAAUCAGGAGCUCACCAAGUUAGUGGCUAAAUAUCUUUAUCUGGUUUUUUGUCAUCAAAACACAUUGCUGAUGUCUGAUCUCCCUGGAGACCUAGAGAUGUAAUGUUAGACUGCUUUGCCUCUUUCAUUUGACAAAUGUUUUGUGUCACUGGGAAGGUGGGAAUUCUGUAUUGAUUUGCUAUGGAUGUUUGUAUGUGAUGCCAAUAAAAGGUUUGAUGAUGAUGGUAUUAGAGCCUCUUCACUUUUGCCAUCUUAGAGUGAAGAGAAUCAAGGCAAUAAUUUUUUAAAAAAUCAACCGUUUUAUUAAUUCUGAAAAGAAUACAACAUAGUUCGAACUGAAUUCCCUGCGGUUGAGACUGAAAUCUAGUUGACAUCUUUCUGCCUCUGAAAUGCGCAGGGAACAUUAUUCUGACAAUGCUCUUAUAAUCAUCCUUUGUUUGUGUCGUUUCAAAACGCUAGGUGCAACGACAGAUUUAGCUCUCAUAGUCGUCUUCAGGUUUUGGCUACUUUAUGAGACAUUGUCAACUACCACAUCCGAUUCUGUUUAGAGUUUUGGUAUUUUGAAAUGUUUUGUUUAGAAUCGUAAUUUUGACAUACCGUAAGUCAAAACUAUCUCAGGGGUAGUUUGAUGUUGAGACCUUGGUGCACUCCAGAAUUCGGCACUCCAGGAGCUAAAAAGGAUGAUAAAGAUAUCAAUAGUCAAUUUUAUUUAAUCAAAAAGGAAAUUAGCAUAAUCAUUGAGAAUGCUAUACAACAUUGACAUCUAUAUGUAGGAUACUUGAUUUUUGUCAAGCAGGUGAAAGCAAGUGUCUUCCAGAGGAUAGGGCAUUAUUGAAUGGAAUAUGUUAGUUUUUGAACCCAUCAGAAGUAUCUAGACUGUGCCACUGGUUCACUACAUCAUUGUGGAAAACAGUAACAAUAUAUGUGUCCUUAUUUUCAUUGCAUAAACAUUGGAAGACAUCUGUCACUCAUUUGCAUUAGGAAAUAUUGCCCAAUAUUGAUGGGAUGUGUUAAAUAGUUGUAGCAGCACACCACAACCAAGUUAGGUAGCAUGUUAUAUUAGAAUCAUAGAAUUGUAGAGUUAGGAGGGACCCUGGGGGUCAUCUAGUCCAACCUCCUGCAAUGCAGGAAUCUUAGCUAAAGCAUCCAGGACAGAUGGCCACCCAACCUCUGCUUAAAAACCUCCAAGGAAGGAGAGUCCACAACCUAGGAUUUCAGUUUGCCAAUUAAUUGUUGUCCAUUUGUGAUUAGAAUAUUUGGCUUUGUAGUUAGAAUGGUAGUAGAGAAGUGUUCAGUCAGUUGUGCCGGUUAGAGAUACUCAUGCUAGAUUUGGGAAGCAAAAUAAAACUUUUAAAAGUGUGUAAGAUUUCUUGUAAAACAGAUUGGACAUACAUUUAUGUAUAUGGUAAAGCUGGCUAGGUGAAAACACAAAAUAAAAUCACAUCAAAAUGAAAUAAAUCCCCCAAUAGCUGUUGAACACUUACCUACCCUACCUCUUUCACUCGUAACGUAUCUCCUUGCUUUUCCUGAGCUUUCUGAGUCCAUUGACAUGCCGGUGGUGGGACAGUUUUCCAAGCCAAACCAUAUCUGAACUUUGGGAGGGUUUGGGCUCAGCUGAUAACGGAGUGCUGUCAUCCAAACUGGAGUUGUGAUUCCCAAACACUUAACAUCCCAAUGUCAGAAUUUUGCCACUAUCUCUUUCUAUUUUCUCUCCGAACUUUUGUUUCCCUACCUUCCACCUUUUGUAUAUUAGUAUGCUGAAUAUGCUGAAACACACUGGAAAGUUGAAAAACUUGGAUGUUGUAGGGGUUAACCAGUACUUGCUAGCAACUACUUGGGAGAAUCGUGUUCUCUCCCAUGAUCUUAUUCAGUUCUGUUAGCAGCAAUAUGUCAUCCACCAUCUUUUCAAACUCCGAACAUCAGUUUCAUUAGUAACACUGUUUUAAAAUGAAGAUGCUAUCUAAGGAUCACUAUAUAUACAAUUAUACAGAACUAACCAAAGUUCAGUAGUAUAUUAAGUACGGAAACAAAAAUAGAUAUCACUCGCCUUUAUAGUUUUAUUUGAAUAGUUUUAUUUACAGAACACACGUAUGUGUAUAAAAAUAAUUGUUUAAACUUGCCAAAGGAGAACAGAAUGUAUGUAAAUAAUACAGCUCAUUAAACUUUGAGAACAUUUAAUCUUAAAGUAUCAAAUUCUGCUCAGAGUUACUUUUGUCUUGGUCUAACACCUCCGGUCCUUGUCAGAUCAGAUUCCAUUCAAGACUUUCACAUGGAUCUUUUGCAAAGUCUUUCACAAAGGACUUCAUGUCAGAUUUUUUGCUUUGAUGGAAAUGAGGAGGACUGAAGGACUGCAGCCCAUAUGAAGAUGUUUGUUUGUUUUUAAAUUCAGCCCAGGCCUGCUGUUUGCAAGGAGCUAAGCAAAUCCCAUAAAAUGCUGUAAGGCAAGGUGAACAUUUUAUUCCAUCGUGGUCCAGUUCAAACACAGUCCAGGAAACAGGAAGUGCAUGUUGCAUCUUUCUGCUUUGUUGUUUAAUGUGUGACAUAGCUCUUUGAGUUUGAUGCUCCUAUAACUGCCAUCAAAGAGGAGGACAGGAUUUAACCUGGCGCAUCUAGUGCUUGUGUCUUCCGCAAAGUAAACGGUUCCCCUGCAGUGGUUAACCACACAAAUUGAGAAAUUUUUUUCACACCAUUAUAAUUCUUAUUAAAGGUAAAGGGACACCUGACAAUUAAGUCCAGUCGCGAACGACUCUGGGGUUGUGGCACUCAUCUUGCUUUACAGGCCGAAGGAGCUGGCGUUUGUCCGCUCCGCAGACAGUUUUUCCGGGUCGUGUGGCCAGCAUGACUACGCCACUUCUGGCACAACAGAACACUGAAACCAGAGCAGCGCAGGGAAACACUGUUUACCUUCCUGCCGGAGUGGUACCUAUUUAUCUACUUGCACUUUGACGGGCUUUCGAACUGCUAGGUUAGCAGGAGCUGGACCGAACAACCGGAGCUCACCCUGUUGCAGGGAUUCGAACCGCCGACCUUUCGAUCAGCAAGCCCAAGCAGCACAGUGGUUUAAACCACAGUGCCACCCGCAUCCUAGCCAACCACUUAAAGCAGGCUCGAUUUUUUAUAUUAUAUGACUUGCGUAUUCUUCUUAAUAGUCUAAUAUAAUGCUGGAUUGUGGUGCGUGAAACAAUCCUACCAGACUUAGCUAAUGUCUAUAUUCAGGAACCAAGUGUGUGAAUGAAUGGUUCCUUCUGAAAACAUAUGUCACGCUCCCUGAGGUGACUGUCACAUGGCACAGAAGCCAUGCAGUUUGCCCAUCCAGCCUUUAUUAGAGAAAUUUGAAUUGCUGGGCAUGCAUAGUUCAUCCCUCUGCUAGGUUUCUCAUUCCAUUUUCCUACGUACGCAGCUACUCCAGAGUAAUCACCGUGAAGGGAAGUUGUAAUCUUGCAGUGACGUCAUAAAAGACUGACUUUCCCUUGGGGCUGGUGGUAUUUUGGAGUCAGAGUAAGCAAUAUGAUAGCCAAGUUUGGAAUGAAACCAAAUUAUUCAGGAUGCUCUAAAGUGAAGAACAAUUGGGCAAUAUGACAAAUGAGGUUCAGUUGCCCAACCUGGUGCACUCCAGAUAUUCUGGGACUGACUACAACUGCCACCAGCCCCAGCUAGCUAGGCACAGACGGAGCGCUAGGUUGGGAAAGCCUGUGUAACAUGAUGCAGACCAAACUAAAUAUUGGUUUAAACUAUUUUAAUAUUGAGUUCUUAAAUUGCUGUAACCAACGCUGGGACAAAAGAGAGCUUGAGGACAUAGUGUAUAGACCCGUGGCAACAACAACUCAGUGUGCAGCAGUUGUAGAAGAAGCAAAGUCCCUCUUAGAGAAAAUUAGGAUGCAGACUGAAAAUUAAGUGGCCAGCAUUGGUGGUGAUGCUUUUAUAUAGAUCUAUGGAGCAGCCAGAUUUGCAGGAUGGAUCUGAUUACCAACAUCUCAAAAAGUAUGCUGUAGAGCUAUGAAAGGUAAAGAGAGGGUAACCGAUAUGAUGAUGAGGGUUGGGGAUCCAUCCCCACAAGAAAAGGCACUGAAAAGGUUGGAGUUUCCGUUUUAAAUAAAAGAUUACUGGGAUGGCAGGAGAGAGAGAGGGGCACACAACAGAGGUUUAUAAAAUUACGCAUGGGGAAGAUAGAUCGAGAGAAUGUUUCCUGUCUUCCACAAUACUAGAAUCAUAGUGAAAUUCUACAACUUGAUUGACAUGACAGAAUAAACUGUAAAAAUGACAGGCAGUAGAGUCCUGACAGAAUAAAUAAACAUUUUGCACACAGCACAUAAUUAACUUAUGGAAUUCACUCUCACGGUAUGAAUAUAUGCAUUUAAUUUUCUUACUGUGUCCAUAUACCAUCUUUCCACCAAGGAAAGUGAUGGCUGCUAGCUUAGAUGUUUUUAAAAGGCAUUAGAUAAAUGCAUGCAGGAGAGUCUAUUACCUGCUAUUAGCUGUGACAGCUAAAUGGAGCCUCCAUCUUUAGAGGCACUGUGCCACUAAAUAAUAGGGGAGGGAAUGGAGGAGGCAACAGCAGGGGGUGGGAUUGCUGCCUUCCCACCUGCUUGUAGGCUUCUUGGAAGCACCUGACUUGCUACUGGGCAGAAACAGGAUGUGGAACUAAAUGGAACUUUGGUCUGAUCCAACAAGGCCCCAUGUGUUCUAAAAUAUAUACUAAAGAGAGUAGUUUACUCUGGAUUUACAGCUUUCUGUAGUACAUUUCUCACUCUUGACACCUCUUUUGUGUUACAGCAGUUGGGAAGGGAGUUUAGCCUUGAAAGCCACCCAUCACUUUAAAUUACAUUCCCUGAAAGAACUGAGGAUAAUACAUUUUCCAGCUCUAACAGUAAUGGGAUAUUGGUGGUGUCCCAAUUGAACUGAGUCCAGAGCCAAUUGCUUGUACUCAUAAAAUGCAAAUGGCUUAAAGCGCACAACUCAUGGGUGUUUUAGUUUUCUUUAUGAGUAGCCUUCUGUAAAAGGUUAAGCAGAAAUGAGCAGAAAUUAAAAACAUGUUUGUGUUACGGUGAAUUUGCUAUUCCGGGGGUCUCCACCCCCUUGUCCAUGGGCACCAGGACACCCAUGAAGGCUGACAUUGGUGGCCCUGUGCAGGUUGCCCUGCUCUGACUUACGAUCUUUUUCAAAAUAAGUCUAUAUAAAUUUUUAAAAAGCAAACUAUUAAAAAUGCAGUGUGACAAGGACCUACGUUCCGGGGCUUUCAUGACCUACAGAAUAUUGAAAUAUAUGGCAACUGUAUUGCAUUGUUCUACUCCAAUCUGAUGCUUUCAUAAGAUGAGUCAGGUAGAAAAUGUAAUUUCAUAAUUAAAACAACUUCAUAACCAAUAGGAUUCCUUUGAAUGGGAUUGUAGGAUGUAUAUUGGGGGGGGGGACAAGCAGGGGAGCUGGGGCUGUAUUACAGCUUUGUACUGGGGCACAAAAUGGUGCCUAGACAUUGAACCUAACAGGAUGUUAAAGUUAUCAGGUAUUUGAUUAUUGGGAGUUAUUUUCUUUGUUUUCACCCUUCUACAACCUUUGGUUAAUUCUGCUGCAAACUUUGUUAUUUGGCAAACUAAACUACUGAAGGGUGUUGUCUUGUGUUAGGAUGAUGUAUUACAUACAAGCUGUACAUUAGAGUUUGCUUUGCUUUUUUUCUGAUGAAGUGGUCACUAAUCCUCAAAAGCAAUAGUGGGGAACCCUCAGCCCAUAAGGUGGGGUUUGGCCCUCAAGUCCUUUUUGGACAAAGCAUGCCCACCUGUCAGUCACCUGACAUCAUAUGGCACCUGUUAUCUCUAAUCUAACAUCUAAGUGCUACAAUUGAAAAUAAAGGGUCUCUUAUCACCAAUCUUGGUUCUGAUCACCACAGUGCUAAGAUUGGAGAUUAGCAUCUGCCUGCUCUUUGACAGCAACUGUCAAAGAGCAUGCAUCAUUUCUCUUAUCUCAGCACUGUGGGACUACAUGUUACAUUUUAUAUUGAAAAUGUAAAAAAAAACACAACUUCUUAAUCUGUAGUGCCAUUUGAAAAGCACCAUCAAUUGCACCUUGACCAUACGUUGGGGAAAAUUUAUUCUCAGUCCCCCUCCCCCACCAAGUUUCCUAUAUAUUAACUACAAAUUCCAGAAGGAACACUAUUAUGCCUGUUGCAGGAAACAAAAAAAAUUACCUUGUGACACCUUAAACUCUGCAGGGGCUGUAGUCAGAUGCAGUGAGCAGCAGUCCACAAAAGCUUAUGUCAAUGAUAAAUUUGCUUGUCUUCAAGAUGCCACAGUGUUCGUUCAUUGUACAUAUAACCCAUUUUCACUUAAUGGAUUUAAUUUAUAAAACUAGUUGAAUAAAGAAAAAGAAUUCUGCUCUCAUAACAGCACCACUCUUUUUGAGUGGGUGCUCUCUGACUCAAAUGGAGGAGCUAAGUGAUUUUGGUGGAGGAGUAAGCUGAGUAUUGAACCACGCCUGAGUAAAUGUGGGUAUAAGGAGUUGUGUCUUGUGUGUAUGUCUGCUAGGCUGUGUACUUGCAUUAAAAGAAGUUGUCAGUUCAAAUCAGCAGAGACUCAUAGGGUUUCUCUUCUUCUAAUUUGGCUUUCUGACUCUUUAUUAUGGGCAUUUAGAAGCUUAUAACAUCUGAUGAAGUAGCAGGAAGGAAGUCUUUCUUCGCCCGGUGCAUAAGUAAACUCUGGAAUGUAUUGCCACAAAAUGCAACGAUGGCCACUAACUUGGAAUGCUUUAAUUGCACAAGAAUAAAACUAUCCAUAGCUACACAUUUCAGCUAGCGCCAGAGCUAAUAUGCUUUUGAAUGGCAGCUGCUGAGGAUCGUGGGCAGGAGAGUGCUGUUACAUUUGGCUGACCACUGUGAAACCAGAUGGAUGGAUGGCGUCAGACAUUGGUCUGAUUCAGUAGCCUUCAUCUUCUGUUCUUAAGUCCGCCAUCAACUUGCUCUGACUCCCACACAUAUUCUCCCCUUUUUCGGUUUCCUUCCUUCCCUUCUCUUUCCUACCGCCACCCAAUUUAUGGCCGUCCCCUCUUGUACUUCCGGCCUGCUCCCUCCCCACUCGCCUCCUCUGCCGGCUGAUUUGUAGCACAUUGAAACCUUUGGGGCUGAUGCCACUGUUCUCCUUCCUUGCUUCCCAAGGCUGAAUCUCAUGGCGUCAUUCUUGAUGGCUUUUACCUCACCCAUGGAUGGCGUCGGGAACGGAUGCCAAACAAUGCCAGCCCAAAGUUUCAUUAUUAAUAUUAAUUAAUUAAUUUAACUUAUUUAUUACCCACCCUUCACCCUGUGCUGUUUGCAGCGUUAAAAACAAUAUUAAAAGCGAUGUUGGUCAAGAGUACCUAAAAGGAAGGGAGCUUUCCCCAACCAAGCCUCAGUACCUCUUCACCAGAUCUCUGUCUGAUGAGUGCAAGCAGGUCAGCGGUGUUGGCAGCAGCAGCAGCAGUGGGUAUAUGGACUCUUGGCAGUGCCAACCUUCCUCAAAUAGAGAGAACUUGAGAUAUUUGUGCCUUGACUUGCUGCAUUUCCUCCUGCUCAGAUAGGAGAGGAAAUAAUUAAAGGAAGAACAUGACUGAUGAACUGCUGUUAAGGGAAUUACUGUACCUCAGGAGGUGUGCGACAAAUGUGUUUGGUGAAGGAGAUUCACCUGGGACUCCUGACUGUGUUAUUACUCUCCCACCCCACCCCCACUCCGCUAUUUAAGCCUAGUCGCUUGCAAGAACUGCUGGAGGGUGGAGCUGGUGUAGUGGGUGGAAGGAGGCUCAACUCGGGCACCUGACUGCUUUGUUCUCCCACCUCCCCAAGUACAACUUUAGAAUUGUGCCUUGCAAGGGCAUGAGCUGAAUGGUGAAAGGUGCUUGUCUUGUGGCUCUCAGUCAGUGGGGAGCUGCUAGGUCAUGAGAUGUUGAUGACGAAGAUUAUGAUGGAGCAUGGAACGAGCAAGCUGAGAGUAGGGCACGAAUCGUCAACUGAUAGUUAUUGCCUUGAGCAAGCCAACCACAGCUUCCCACCUGCAGCAGGGAACCGUAAUACUGACCCACAUUCCAGUGGCAUAAUGAUUACAGAAGCAAUGUAAGGGAAUAUUAGGAGCAGAAGUGUCCCAUACUUCUUUAAUCUAAUUUACAGGGACCAUUUUUGAACUUGCGGUGUGCUUUGAUUCUGUGGAAUUUGUGCCGUGCUAACAUUGUGAGCAAGGUUGAAAUGACUGUCCAGAGGCACAAGCUGCUUUUAUAGAAGCCUGCUGGGGAAAAUGAUGCAAAAACACAUCUCGAAGGCUGCUUUUUAAAGGUCUUGUUACCUUUCAAACACAUGCAACUGUCAUGAGAGCUCUGUGCCGGUGAAAUGCCCCUUCUCACAAAUAAACCGUUAAGCACCAUUUUGAUGUAAUUUUCAAAGCUUGACCUCAAUCUCUCUGGGUUUUGAUCAUUAAAAUGGCCCCGCAGCUAUCUGCAAAAGGUCUGCUGCUUCCCUGCUGCUGAAAAUCAGUGGAAACCUGAUUAUAUGAUAAUUGCAAAAAAGGGGGGGUGUCUAACGCUUAUUAAGGAGAUGAAUUAAAGAAAGAAGUGCAAAUCUUUUUUGACAGAGCAGUUGUGUUACAUUUCAAGAGCUCUUCGAAUCAUCCACACCCCUUUCAAAUCUGUGUUAAAAAUUGGAGUGUGCAUCACCUUUGGGGGGGGGCAAAUGAUGAGGUGGAUUGGAGUGGUUUGUGGGUCUCUGUCUUCUGAAUUUAAAUGUGAUGUAAGUAGCACACCCACCCACCCCAAAGUUGGAUCAGGACUCCACAGAGUGUUGUGUCACUCUGUCUCUCCACCCCUGUUCUUUAUUUCUCUAAUGUCUCCAUAGAAUCAUAGAAUUGUAAAGUUGGAAGGGACCCUGAGGAUCAUCUAGUCCAGCCUCCUGCGACGCAGGAAUACGCAGGGGUGGGAAUUGAAUUUGCAGUCAGCAAGAAGUGAGUCUGCCCCCAAAUGUUUCCUGUGGAACAUUGAAGAAAUCUGGUUUAUUUUUAUUUGAAGCAUAGCAGUGGGUGAUUUCUUCUUUUAAAAGUUAACAGCUUCAUUUACAUUCAAAAAAAACACACAACGAAAUCAACUGCAUUGGGUUAGUGCAUCUGGCUGUUAACCAGAAGGUUGGUGGUUCGAGUCCCAGUCCCACCCCACAGCUGUGGGCAGGAUUCCUGCAUUGCAGGGGGUUGGACUAGAUGACUCUCGGGGUCCCUUCCAACUCUUCAAUUCUAUGAUUCUGUGAAACCCAAAGUUCUCCAGAACUCUGCAGGCGGCAUUCUUAGCCUCACACUCUACUGUCUACCAGAGGCUCAUAAAAGCCUAUUGGGAAAUGGCUGAGUGAGGACAUCUAGGGAUUUGGAGUGAGUUGUUGCCAGUGAGUUGAUGAUACCGAAAUCUGUUUCUCUAUUUCAUCAGAUUCACAGUGGGUUCGAUGGGAAUUGCUUCCAGACAAGGGAGAUGUAUAUGCACUUUCCAAAGAUGUGUGUGUGUGUGCUUUUAAUUUGCUACUUUUUAAUCAACAUGCAUAGACACUAGGAUUGGGUGAUGUCUGGUUUUCAACGUUGUGAUAUACCACCAACUCAACAUUGCGAUAUCUGAAAUAAGGAUGGAACUCUGUAGAGGCGAAAAUGGCAAUGUCCUAACAGCUUAGGGGUCUAAAAGUGACAACUUUUUGUUUACCUUUACUAUAUUGUUGCAGCUGUUAUUUUAUAGUACAGGUAAUGUUUAAAUCAGCACAUUUUCUUUAAAAUAUGGAGGGAAGCUACUAGGAGGAAACCAACAACAUAAACAUCAGAAAACGAAAACACUCUCCCCCCUCCCCAUUUUUUCAAAGGAAGAAGAAGAAGCACAUAAGGAAGUAUAGGGUUGGGGAAACAAGUGUGUGAAAGAGCAAAGGGGCGAGGGGAGAAUUGGGGAGAGUUAAGGGAACUUGGGUGUCAGCAAUCGCCCACAGGUGGGUCCUGCCAGCAGAGAGAGCCUAUCUAUUUACAAGCACAAUUCAAAGUGCUGGUUAUGACCUGUAAAGCCCUGCACAGCUUAGGUCCAAGCUUUCUGGAAGACCGUAUUCCCUCAUAUGUACCUACCUUGGUUUUGAGAUCUUCAUGAGAAUGCCUUCUUUGUGGCUGCUCCCAGAUUCUGGAACCAGAGCGGCUCCUUCGUUAUCUUCUGCUGCCAGAUGAAGACCUUGUUCCAACAGGCUUUUCGGAAUUGAUUGCCAUGCCAAGGGUUGGGGUUUUUUUUGGGAAUUAUAUGUAUGAUUGAAACAGAUUUUAUAUAUGAAUACCGAUCAGAAGGUUGGCGGUUCGAAUCCCUGCAACGGGGUGAGCUCCCGUUGCUCGGUCCCUGCUCCUGCCAACCUAGCAGUUCGAAAGCAUGUCAAAGUGCAAGUAGAUAAAUAGGUACCGCUCCAGCAGGAAGGUAAACGGCGUUUCCGUGCGCUGCUCUGGUUCGCCAGAAGCGGCUUAGUCAUGCUGGCCACGUGACCCGGAAGCUGUACGCCGGCUCCCUCGGCCAGUAAAGCAAGAUGAGCGCUGCAACCCCAGAGUCAGUCACGACUGGACCUAAUGGUCAGGGGUCCCUUUACCUUUACCUAAAAUGUUUUUGGCAGUUCUUGUUUUUAUCUGUAGGCCAUCUUGAGUGCCAUCAGGGGAAAAUACAUAUUAUAAAUAAUAACAAUAACAACAACAACAACAUACAUUUGUGUGUUGUAUUGUGCUGGGCACCCCCGCCACUGUUACACAGCCAGUGUAAAUUAAAAUUUCAAAUAUAUAAUUGAGGCCACAUAACAUCAAUAACUUCAAAGUGAUAUUCAAAAUUGGUCCUGAAGGUAAGUUCAUUAAUUAGACUCCUGAUACUUCAUUAAUUGGGCAAAGAAAAUUCAGCAGUUAGUUAGCUGACUGUAUGGAAGGCAUGAUGCACUUUUGCCCAAGGAAUAAAACAAGCAGGAUACACUUUUACCCAAGGAAUAAAAACAAGUGUUAUUUUUAUAGCUGGUAUUAGUUCAAUAUGUUUAACGAAAUCAGUAUCAAGUCUCUGAGCAUAUGCGUGAUCAGUCACAAAAUGUUUGAUUUACUGAGGAAAAAACUGGAGGGUUUUAUGCAGCUGGAGUGCAGAACUAAAGGAAGAAAUGCAACAGGGUGUACUAGAGCAGAGAAAAUACUUGUAGAAAGUAAAUCGUGGAGGGAAGGAGGACUGAGAAAUGCACAUUCCAGGCAGAUUUAAGCCUUUUGUGGAUGUUCCAUUUUACCACAUGUAAACACUCAACACAAGGGAGAGCCAAGCCCCAUCUUCUCUGACAUAUCAUUUUUGGCUCCUUCAUAGCCUUCCACAAAUUUGUGGGUGAAGGUCUCAAGCAGGGCACACCCUUUACUUGCGAAGGCUCCGCACGUGCCCAAUUUGAAAAUAUACAAGGGCAGAAGUGGUUCCUGCUUCAGAACUUUGCCCUCAGUCUCGUGGAGGGCUGUAAAUGGGCCACCGGGGUCAGAAAUAGUCACUGCACCUCCAGACUCCCUUAUGUGCGCAUUUAAAUGCAAGGAAACAGAAUUCCUGGAUAAGGCCUAUUGCUUUUAUUAUUAUUAAAUCUUUAUUGGUUUAAAAUACAAAGAUACAAACAUACAAGGUAAGUGUGGCGGACAUACAGGGUCCCCGGACGUUUGACGGUCUAUUGAUCCCUGUGCCACCACUGUGCUCGCUUCCCCGCCGCCACCAACCCGUUACUCUCAGGUACACACUGAGUCCAGACAGUUGUUAAAAUUAAACCAAAUAAACAAGUUUAUUUUAUAAGCAUUGACAAUUUUAUGGUUUCUCAGAUAAUUUUCUUGUCAGUUUCUUAACCUUAGUUUCUUUACCGGCCUAUACCUUCCUAAUACCUUCUGACUGAUAACCUCAACUGUUUGACUGACUCCUCUUAACAGAUUGUCUCACAUCAGACUAGCCCAACCCACAGACUUAUCCUCCCUCUCUCUUCUCUAACUCCAGACUGGCUUCUUAACAACUCUAACUCUAACUCCUCCCCUUAGGUUCCUAUAGGUUAGUCAUUUUACAAUUAGUUAACCCUUUCCUUAUGAACCCAGUAUGAUAUCACACAGUAACAAUUUCAGAUUUAAAUACAAAAAAGAAAGAAAGAAAAGAAAUGGGGGAAGGAAAAUUUUGAAACAAAGACAAAAAAAUGAUAAAAGGGGGGGGGAGACUAAAGAUUUAUACAACAUUAUAUCUAUCAAAUAAAUUUUUUUUGCAAAAAAACUUCCAAAACUCUUUUUGUUGUCAUGGUAUCAUUUUUGCAAUAUAAUCUUAUAUAUUCUUUAAAUAUUUUCCAUUCUCCAUAUGUUUUCUGGUUUAAAACUCCCCUGACGUUUCCCGUCAGCUUUGCCUGUUGGAAAUACUCUAUCAUAAGUGUCUGCCAAUCUGUUAUUGUUGGUGUUGUUUCAUAAGGCCUAUCGCUAGAUCACAAACUGUGACCAUUUAAAGCCUGUCCUCCAUAAUCAAUUAGGACUAUCAUCUUUAGACCAGGGGUAGUCAACCUUUUUAUACCUACCACCCACUAAUGCAUCUUUCUUGAUGGUAAAUUUCCUUACUGCCCACCAGCGCUCGAUGGAAGGAGGAUUCAGCUUGUGCCAUAGAACCCCCUACCGCCCACCUAGAAUCCUGAAACGCCCACUAGUGGGUGGUAGGGACCAGGUUGACAACCCCUGCUUUAGACAAAUUCCGGGGGACCAGUCUAUCAGAGGCUAUAAAUGCUGCCCCCAUGUGCAGAGGCUUCUAAACACGAUGUAUAAUACUUAUAAUUAACAAUUCUAAUAAUACUUCUGAAGAUUAUAAAAUCAAUAGAGGACCAUACUCACUCUGUUCAGAAGCAUUAACCAAAAACGUGGAUUCUUGUACCAUUAUUUAACCAGUCUGCAUGCAUGGCAGUAUAAUGAAGGGUUGUGAGUAAAGGGUGUUCACAGUUCAUGACAUCCACCUGAAAGAAUUUAAACUAAGGCUCUUCUUUUGUAUGCAGUAAAUGCUAGAAGCUUUUAGCAUCUUGUGACAAUUAACUGCUCCUUAGGUUCAGGGUAAGCAGACACAGUAACCGGUCCUAAUUUGUUUGUUUACUCAGACUAGUGGUGAAAGUUAUGGAAUAUGCUAGAUAGUUGCUUUGCAUUUUCAUUGCAUUAUUAUUAUUUACAGAGUAUAUUUCUUUUUCAUUUGAACUAGUGUUGGGACUGCUUUUAAAUAAAAUGUUGAGGUGCUAGAACCCUUUCCAGGUGCAUUGAACUCAUGAGCGCUGGUAUAAGAGGUUGGUUUAUUCAUUAUAUGGUCUGAAAGAACUCUGUAGGGUCUCCUCUGUAGGGAAUUAGUAUAUACGGAGAUCUUUCUCCAGGCAGCUGAAACUUUCCUGGUGGAUAAAAUGUAUUUAUAGAAAAUGUGAAAUAAGUUAUGUGAAAAAUACAUAUUUGGGGUUGAAUAUAUUUGUAUGUGUUUUACUGAUCUGAAUUUGACUUAUUUCUUUAAAAAUCUUUUUUUAAGAAAAUCUUUUUUAAAAUCUUUAAAAUCCAAUAACAUGAUACCUAAAAUGCUAGGAUCACUUCUGCACCCUGCAUUUCUAGAUACGUGGACAUACAUUUUUUGGGAUAUACAUUUUUUAAAGAUGUUAAUAUGUUAACAAGGCACAGAUACUUAGUUAUAUUAUCUAAGUAAAUUCACCAGAAACUCAUGAUUGGCUGAAACUUCCUUUAAAAUGCACGUAGAAUUGCAGACCAUAUGGCUUCCUGUCAUGGAGGAUGUGAAAUGGCGCUUUCCUGUUUUACUGUUUCUGUUUUGCAUACAAGCCAAUGCUCACGGUCAAUUUCUGCCAAGCAAACCACAAGCAGUGAGUCAGGUGGUGGGUUUUUUGCCUCUCUCUUAGAUACAUGUAAGACUGACUCUUCACCUUUUUGGUUUCUCAAAUCAGCAGUCUCCCUUUAUAACCUGUUUACGUGAAAAAGGAAUCCCAGGUUCUCUCCCAGUCACACUUUGGGAAAUGCUAAUGAGUGUAGGGUUGUUUGUACCUCCUGUACUGAUAGGCAUUAAUGAAACCUGCUUUGCUGCAUUUUUUUUUUGUUUUGUUUUGUUUGACAAUGCCUUCAUUUCUCUUGCUUUCCAUUUGUAUUCCUUCUCCUGGUUUUUCAUGUUUGUUUUUAAAGAAAAAGGUCCCUGCUAUGACCUACUUUUACAAAUCAUAGAAUCAUAGAAUCAUAGAGUUGGAAGAGACCACAAGAGCCAUCGAGUCCAACCCCCUGCCAAGCAGGAAACACCAUCAGAGCACUCCUGACAUAUGGUUGUCAAGCCUCUGCUUAAAGACCUCCAAAGAAGGAGACUCCACCACACUCCUUGGCAGCAAAUUCCACUGUUGAAUAGCUCUUACUGUUAGGAAGUUCUUCCUAAUGUUUAGGUGGAAUCUUCUUUCUUGUAGUUUGGAUCCAUUGCUCCGUGUCCGCUUCUCUGGAGCAGCAGAAAACAACCUUUCUCCCUCCUCUAUGUGACAUCCUUUGAUAUAUUUGAACAUGGCUAUCAUAUCACCCCUUAACCUCCUCUUCUCCAGGCUAAACAUGCCCAGCUCCCUUAGCCGUUCCUCAUAAGGCAUCGUUUCCAGGCCUUUGACCAUUUUGGUUGCCCUCCUCUGGACACGUUCCAGUUUGUCAGUGUCCUUCUUGAACUGUGGUGCCCAGAACUGGACCCAGUACUCCAGGUGAGGUCUGACCAGAGCAGAAUACAGUGGCACUAUUACUUCCCUUGAUCUAGAUGCUAUACUCCUAUUGAUGCAGCCCAGAAUUGCAUUGGCUUUUUUAGCUGCCGCGUCACACUGUUGGCUCAUGUCAAGUUUGGGGUCAACCAAGACUCCUAGAUCCUUUUCACCUGUACUGCUCUCAAGCCAGGUGUCACCCAUCUUGUAUUUGUGCCUCUCUUUUUUUUUUGCCCAAGUGCAAUACUUUACAUUUCUCCCUGUUAAAAUUCAUCUUGUUUGUUUUGGCCCAGUUCUCUAAUCUGUCAAGGUCGUUUUGAAGUGUGAUCCUGUCCUCUGGGGUGUUAGCCACCCCUCCCAGUUUGGUGUCAUCUGCAAAUUUGAUCAGGAUGCCAUUGAGUCCAUCAUCCAAGCCGUUGAUAAAGAUGUUGAAUAAGACCGGGCCCAAGACAGAACCCUGUGGCACCCCACUAGUCACUCUUCUCCAGGAUGAAGAGGAACCAUUGAUGAGCACCCUUUGGGUUCGGUCAGUCAGCCAGUUACAAAUCCACUGAGUGGUAGCAUAGUCAAGACCGCAGUUUACCAGCUUCUUUACAAGAAUAUCAUGGGGCACCUUGUCAAAUGCCUUGCUGAAAUCAAGAUAGGCUACAUCCACUGCGUUCCCUUCAUCUACCAUGGAAUAACAAUUACCCUGGAAUAACAAUUAAACUGCAAAAAGCCUUGGUUUACACCAUUGUUUCCCUCUUAGUUUUGUUUUUAAUGGCUGUUUGUGUUUAUUGAUUGAGGGUUGUUGCUUUGUUUUAAUUCACCAGAAGAAAUAGAUAAAGCAAAUACCACUCAUAAGCACAGCACUUUAAAAAUGUACUGCUAACAAAACAUGAAAUGUGUAUGUAACUAACAAUGAAAAACAACCAGAAACCAACAAAGACAAUGGGAAAAUAGAAAUAACCACUGGUGACAAAAUUAAUUCAACAUAACAAAUGUACCCAAAAUACAAAUCUAUAAUCUGUUGGCGAAGGGUUUGCUCACAAAUAAAUAAUUUGGAGGAUCAAGUAGAGCCCUGGCUGCUAAAAGAUUUCUGAAAUGAUAUGUGAAAAUAUACAUUUUUUACUUUUGAAAAACUAAGUCUGCCUAAUUGUCACAGAUAGGGAUAAGCGAAUAGGUCGUUUUUCAUUUUUCUUAGUUUCUCAUUUAUCCAUUCUUAAGUUGAGCUCCCCACAUUUCCACAUAAAUUUAUGAUUCCCCCCCCCAAAAAAAUGUCCUCAUGAAAAUUCACCAGCAUUUCGCCUCUUUUUUUUUUGCAGUACUUUUCUUCUGGGGGGGUGCAGGGGCACGUACACCCCUAAACAUUUUGUGAAUCUAAGUUUGUCCUCAUUGAGGGGCAGUAUUUCAGUAUGAGUAGGGAAAUGAGAGUACCCCUAAACAUUUUUUAAUAAAAAAGCACUGUAUGCACUUUUUGUAUGUAGAUUCCUCUAAUGUGAUGCAUUUUUGUAUGUUAUAUUUACUAUUAUAUGCAAUUAUAUGGACUUUACCCUGGUUUAUGUACCUUUUGUACAAAUUACUUGGGUGAAGAAUUGCAUUUUAAAACUCAGAAAAGCGCAAAUUUCAAAGGAUUGGUUGUGUUUCUGUUCACAUAUUGCUUCAAAGAGUUUGAAUCAGCUAAGUCUGCUUUUAAAUGCAAACUUAUUUGAAUUUAUCUUCCAUCUCUAGUCAUGAGAGAAGUGAAGAGGAAAAACUAAACUCUUAAGAAGUACUAAGGUGUGUUUCUGAAGAUCCAUGUAGAAUUAAAUGCAACAUAGAUCAAACCUCUCAUGUCAUAGCAAUAUUUUGGGGGUUAUAGUAACGCGGGUGGCGCUGUGGUCUAAACCACUGAGCCUAGGGCUUGCUGAUCAGAAGGUCGGCAGAUUGAAUCCCCGCGACGGGGUGAGCUCCCAUUGUUUGGUCCCAGCUCCUACCAACCUAGCAGUUCGAAAGCACGUCAAAGUGCAAGUGGAUUUGCAAGUGCUGCUUCAUUCCAGAACUUAAAGAUAUAGUACUUUGAUAAGAUUUCUAUGUCAAAGUGCAAUGGGUACCACGCCAGUGGGAAGGUAAUUGGCGUUUCUGUGCGCUGCUCUGGUUUCUCCAGAAGCGGCUUAGUCAUGCUGGCCACAUGACCCGGAAAAACUGUUUGCGGACAAAAGCCGGCUCCCCUGGCCAGUAAAGCGAGAUGCAUGCCGCAACCCCAGAGUCGUUCGCAACUGGACUUAACAGUCAGGGGUCCCUUUACCUUUAGCUUUUUAGUAACUGAAUCUUCAAAAAGAACAUCUCACAGAUUGGUCACACCUGCAGUCAAAAUGGAGUUUAUCUUUGUGACUUUAAGUUAUCACAGCAAAAACUAAAAUUAACUGUGACAUCUCCUCUUGGCCACAGGGGCGCAUGUAUUUCUGGAUGGCCUGCACAAUGCAGAUCAUUCCUGGCUACGUUCCUGAAUUCUGAGCAAACACCCUAGAUUAUAGUACACAUGGCCUUUUGCUUCCUCCACUAAAGCCCAUCUGUUCUGAUGGCAUUAUUCCUGCUUGCAAGUUAAUCAGACCAUCUCACUGAAUCACAAAGGCAGUGUGGGCUGCAGCGGACAGCUACAGAAGACAAGUACUACAAAGUCUCUCCCCUCAAAAGUUAGAGCCACACUGGUGCCAUGUGCUGCAUUAUUGGAUGAAAUUCAUUAGUGUUACACUGCCAACGAAAGCUUCCUAAACAGGGAGGGAAAUGAGUUGCAGCUGAAUGCUGAUUUGCGAGUGCUGCUUCAUUCCAGAACUUAAAGAUAUAGUACUUUGAUAAGAUUUAUUUGUCAAAAUAAACCACUUUAAUCUUGCAGCAGCAUAAAGAUCUAUUUAAAUGACAAAGCCUAGUUCAGAAGUUGUACCUUCCAUGUGAAUUUUCGUAUUACAUUCUUAAGUGAUAAUGGGCCCGGUUUGGGUGUGAUGCCAAGUGAUGGUUUGGUGUUCUGCUUCAGCCUCCUAUUCCCAGUAUGGAUCAGAAGAGGACACUGGAAGUAUCCAUGUUCUAGUUUAAACUCAUCACAGAUUGUUACAUCCAAACCAGGAACUGUGGACAGUGUAAAUAACGUAUGUUCCGUUGAAACGAGCCAGGAUCAAACCUGGAGGUUCUACUCUGGCUUCCAAUCUCAGACUCACAAUGGAUGUUUUAUUAGCAUAAAGUAUUUGUAGACUUUAGACUAGAGGUAAGUUAGUCUAGGUUCAGUUCUAGGGGUGCUCCCACCAGUCUGCUCAGAGGUAAGGUCUAUAUUCUGUUCUUGGUGUGCCCACAAAGUAUGCUCUUACUAAGCUUCCAUGACUGAGAGUGUUCAGAUUUCCUGUCCUAACACUUCCUGUUCCCCUUCUAGAUCCUGAGUCUGUCCAUUUAGUUCCAUUACUUAGGAUACGGUGAAGAAGGAUCUGAGGGGGCAGGAGAGCAUUGGUGCAUGAGGCUCAAUCAAGUUCAUUUGUGCGAACCAGGUCAAAGAUGGCAAUUUCUUGUGAAAUUGCAAAAACUAUUGCGAAAAUUGCAUGGCGUGGUACAUGAAGACAGUGACGGAAGGGAAAAGCGCUGUACAUCAGCACUGUAAUUAAGACACACACUCGCAACAUUAAAAAAAAAACCCUCAUGAAACCCUAUUUUUUAAAAAAUUGAAUCUUGUACAGGAGGGAGCAAAGUGAACACAGGAUUAUUUAGCAUGUUUUGGCUUCAGGAUUUAGGAUUAAGUAGAGUGCAAGAGCACGUCCAGGGGAAUUCAUAUCAUUUAACCAACAACCGCUUGUGAUCAGUAUCACUUUUAUUCAAAAUUAUUAGCUCAGUUAUGCAACCACUAUGCAAAUUCUUGAAUGUUACAUUCAUUCUUAAAAUCUUACUACACACCACUUGAAUUCUGAGUUUCUAUUGAUGUGUUUCCACUAUUUAGACCUAGCCGGGAUGUUCAGAACCCAGAUAAAUCCAGAUGUUGUAACUCAGGAGCAGAUUUACAGCACAGUUCUAGAAGUCCUAUAACAUAUCCCUUUCCUGAAUUGUUGUACUACCUCCCACGAGUUCAGAGUCAAGUACAGAUGUGUUUAGAGCAGUCUUCCUUCCAAAUACUGUUCUGGUACAAGCAUUAUUAAAUUCAGAGAUGGGAUUGCCUUCCUGUGCCUUUAGGCCAUUCUUUGAACUCAUGGAACUUAUGCACAUCUAGGAAGCUUCAGCUCUAGGUAAAAAGGGUGUGUUGAACUAUUUUUCUGAGCUCCAAAAUGUUACCAUUGUUCUCGGAUUCCAUCUCCCAGGUUCUCUAGGUCUGCAUCAUUUAAUAUAUGGUACGCUGGUACACUGAACUUCCUGCAGCUUCAAUCAUCCAAGCUCUCAUGUUUCAUCAUGGCCAUGCCUGCCUUUAUAUAAUGUAAUUUGAUAAUUCAUCUUUCCCAGGAAAGCGCUUCUGAAAAUGUAAUUUAUGUAAUGCAUUUUAGGCAAGAAUAAUAUAAUAGGACAAGGCAGCCAAAAUAGCUAUUGAGCGCAUAGACUAAGGAGAAUCGUGUACAGUGGUACCUUCGUUUACAAGCAUAAUCCGUUCUGGAGGUCCAUUUGUAAACCAAAACAGGUUGUAACCCAAGGCAUGCUCUUGCCAAUAGGGCCUCCAAAUUUUUUUUGUUUUUAAUCCCCCCAAAAAAUGGGUUGUAAUCCCAAAAAAUGUUGCAAACCGGGACACGCACUUCCGGGUUUGACGUGUUUGUAAUCUAAAACGUAUCCAAGCCAGACUGUUCGCAAACCAAGGUACUACUGUAUUUUCUUAAAGGGAGAGUUUGUGUUUGUAAAUAACUCUAGCCACUAUGCAGGAUCAAUUUCUGUACUGAAGGUUACCAUAAUGUCUCCCAAAUUUUUCCAUGUUACAGUUUAAAAAAUGUUCCUAAAAAAUGUUACACACAUACAUACAUACAUCCAUGCAUGCACACACACACACACAUACAGAAAACAGAUCAAUAUCUACUGAUCUGAUGCAACUUAGUGGUGAUCUUGUUUCAGAUGUUUUGCUCCUCUCUCUACCUUCUCCUAAACAGCUUUGUCAGACCAGGUGAAAGAGAUGCCAUGGAAAAGCUCAGAGGGAGGGGAAAGCAAUAGGUUGACUUAUUUCUUUUUCAUUAUACUGUUAUAGGUUUGUAGGUUCUAGAAUUUAAUUACGGCUUGGGGCAUCAGAAGUGAUGUGAGGCGAUAGGUAGACCCAUGUGUGUAUUUGGGCUGUGUGUUAGAUGCUUUUAAUUCCUUGGAAUUAACAUGUGUGUAACUUAGCCAGGCAAACUUACUAAGGUGCGUAUUAGACAAUGACAAUCCUAGGGAAUCAACAUGAGAUAAGUGUUAAAUGAGUCAGACUAAUUUUCUUUGAGGUAUUAAGCCUGGGGUAACGGGUCAUUUACACAACAGAGGAUGAAAGAAAUGGGGUCUCUCCCUGUGUUAGAAAAAGCCAGCACUUUAUAUUAGUGUGAGAGUAAGCUGGAUGUUAUAUGACCUAGGAAAGCAAACUGUAGAGCAAGGAAGAAGCUGGAACCUCUUGGGUUGCUAAUGCUGUGAUCCCCUCCAUCGUAGGCUCAGUUUGUGUAUAUAUAUGUGUGUGUGUAAAUAAACCAUAUACCAUAAAGAUCCAGCAAUCUCCACUGUGUCUCAUUUUCCCAAAUGGAAACACAAACCCUGUUCCUGGAACCCCUAGAAUCUUGCACUGCUCAGAGAUUGGGGCGAUGUGUAACAAUGUGCUACACCCUAGUAGUAACUGACACUAUUCAAUCACACUUCGUUCAGCUGAAUCUUAAGUUUGGGUGCUGAUCAAUAGGCCAUCAGCUUCAGGAACAAACACUUGGGAGGAUUACUAAGAGGACUAAACAGAGGUUAUUAGCUUCCUUCACAUCACAUGGUCUUUUCCACCUGGGAAACCUUGGCCUCAGGUGGGAGGCAGUGAAUAAUAAUCAGGAUGCAGAGAGGUUGGGGGAAAGCUAACAAAAAAGCUUCUUCGCAUGGAGAAGCCGUGGGCUACAGAAAGUGUUUUCUGAGUAUACUAGAGGUGGAAACAAAGGGUCAGAAACAACCGCAAGCAUACAGAUGAAGAAAGCUACUGCCUGGAUACAUAAUUAUGUGAUGGAGUGGAAUGUAAGGAGGGAGACACAUUUUCUAGGCUUUACAACCAAAAGCGCGGGGGGGGGGGGGAGUGAAGUUCUCAUGCAAUGACUCACUCAUCCCUAAGUACCAUUUUAUAUACAUUUCCGCCAUCUGGUGACAAUAAAUGAUCAAUAAUAUUCAAAUUUGGUUUAGUAAGGUUAACUUACUCAUUUGUAUCAUGCCAUUCUUUACAAAAAAUACAUCCAGGGUACUUUGCAAUAAAUGAAAGAUGUAUUAUUUGUGUCAUUUUAUUCAUGGCAGGCUGCCUAAAGCCCAACAUCAACAUCAGAAUGUGGCAAGAUUUUUUUUAAAAAGCAUUUCACAAAUGUAAUCAUUUUCAGAAUUUUCCAGAGAGGUAUGUCCCAUCCAGGGAUGCGGGUGGCGCUGUGGGUUAAACCACAGAGCCUAGGACUUGCCGAUCAGUAGGUCGGCGGUUCGAAUCCCCACGACGGGAUGAGCUCCCGUUGCUCGGUCCCUGCUCCUGCCAACCUAGCAGUUUGAAAGCACGUCAAAGUGCAAGUAGAUAAAUAGGUACCACUCCGGCGGGAAGAUAAACGGCAUUUCCGUGCGCUGCUCUGGUUCGCCAGAAGCGGCUCAGUCAUGCUGGCCACCUGACCCGGAAGCUGUACGCCGGCUCCCUUGGCCAAUAAAGCGAGAUGAGCGCCACAACCCCACAACCCUAAUGGUCAGGGGUCCCCUUUACCUUUACCUUUAUGUCCCAUCUAGAAGGGAGCAGGCAUCGGACCAGGGGUACUUCUCUGGUGAUAAGAGCUGUGAAUGGGGUUGUGGACAGAAGCUGAGCUCUUCGUUGGGGUUGAGGGGACUCUCCUUGCUCUGCCAACCAGUCUGAAGAGGCUGCAGAAGACUGACAAAAACCCCACCUAAUCCUGGCCACAGGGCAGUUGUCAUCCCAAAGUGGGGAAAACUCUUCAGAAGACUCCCGUAAAUAUUUAUGCAGAUGUCUUCACCUGAGUUUCCUGUUUUUACUGUUGUGUUUUAAUGGGAUUGUUUUGUUGCAUAUUUUAAUUAUGGAUGUUUAUAUUUAAUAUUUUAAUGGAAUUGCUUUAUUGUGUUCUAUAAUUAUGGUGUCAUUGUAUAAUUAUGGUAUAUUUUUUUAACAGUGUUGUGUAAUUGGUUUUCAUAUUCUGUGAACCACUUAGAAGCCUAUUUUGGCAUUAAGUGUACAGAAAUUGAUUCAUAAUCAUAAGGUGCAGAAAGCUUUGUGCAAACAAGUCCAGCCCAUUCACUUCCAGGCCAGAAAAAGUAGAGGUAGUCCUAUAUUCAGUAAUGAGCUUUCCAAGACACAGCAGCCUUGCUAGUGCGAAAACUCCAUCUGUGUGUGUGUGUGUGUGUGUGUGUGCGCGCCAGAGUGCUGGAGCAGGGCUAGAAUGCUUUGGAAUCAUCUCAGGCAAUUUUAAGUGACAUCUUGUAGAGGAGACUGUUAAAUUUAUCUUACAACAUAUGGUUUCCCUGGCUCCGUGGGCAGAGAUGCACAUUCUUACUCAAUCAAGAUUGCUUAGAACUGGGCCCCACUUCCUGGAAGCCCCAUGUACGCAAUGGGAGCAAAUGGAAGUUCUGAAGAGCUCACAUUUGUAUCAAGCAGCAUCGCCACAUAUCUCAACAGGGUUCAUGAAUCUCACAAAUUGGGGUAGCCCAUUCUCCCCUCAACAGUGUAUUUUUUUUCAAGCUGCCAUGAUUGUUGAAAUUGUUGCGACUGCAUGCACAGCCCACACAUGGAGGCACUAGUUCAUGCAGAUGGCAUCCCUGCCCAUGUAGCUCCCAUCCAGAAGCUCAGAAACAGCCCUGCAUGCUACCAGGGUAUCACAUAAGUGCCACCGGUAGGAUUAACUGGUUGCUUUUUGAAAUUGCUUGCCCCUCCCCUCCCCCCAAAAACCCAAUGAAACUUAUGAGAGGUUUCAUCUUUCCAAGAGAAAGCUUUAACAGCAGAUUAGGCAAUGCUGCAGAUGUGUACUUUCUUAAAUUAUUUUGUUACUAUAGUUACUGCUGACAAGUUAUAUAAAACAAAUUGCUUAUUGCAGCACAGAGGUAAAGGAGUCUUUCUUUCUUUCUUCCUUUCCUUUCCUUUCCUUUCCUUUCCUUUCCUUUCCUUUCCUUUCCUUUUUAAUUCUAAUUUCUUUCAGCAAACUCAUUACCCGUUGAUUUUAAAUGCUGUGCAUUUUGUUGAUACCUAGGAGCUAACAACACCAUUUUAGUGAUGGAUGAAAAAAUAAAACCCAAGGUCAAAUCUAGCUUCUCUUUUAUACUUGUUAUUUUAUUCUUUGGUUAUAUGAAAUUGCCUCACCCCAGCAAGUCAUUAGAAUAAUUGGCUCACUUUGAGUUUUGCAUUAAUAAUGUGAAAAGUCCACCUUUUUUCUGAAUUCUGCUGCAUUAGAUAUUAAUUUCAUGCAAAAGAUUUUGGUGAAACUCGACAAGCUGACAUUAAGUUUGGUGAUGAUCCUACAGCAGGAGUAGGGAGCCUAUGGGACAUGUAUUUCAGCAUCUGCUGGCUGUGCAGCGCUUAACCCAAUGUAAGAAAGACUUAAACCAGCUGGAUUUUUCAUCAGUGAAUUACCUUAGUUUUUGAAAAGAAAUUGUAUUAGGAAUUGCAACUUUGCAUUUUGUGGCCAAUGACAUUGUGUCGACAUUGUGAAAAAUGUACAUGCAUGAGGAGCACCGAUCCCACAAUAAACACCUGUCUGGAAGCACUCCUUGUAUCUACUGUGGACCUUCUGCCUACUCUGGAUUCCGGCUCCAGGACUUCUUGGAGGUCAGGUAUACAAGGGGCUGGUAGAACUGAUGAAUGAUAUCCCUUCUGGACGUGGCCUGCAGGAACAGAUUCAUUUUAUUAUCUUCUGCAUUGUGCACUUCAGACAGUUUCCAGAGGCUAGAGCUGCAGUAUUCAAGGAUCAGGUCUCCCUAAUGCUUCCUGUAGUCUCCAGCUGCUUUAAUCAACCUUCCACAGCCCCUCACCUCUGUGAAUUUGUUUUAAUGUGCCUACUGGAAAAGGUACAGUAGUACUGAGACAAGAGUAUUUCGAAGGAUUGUGGAAGAUCAGAGGUGGGUUAAAUGAGAGUGGAGAGCAUUUGCAGUACUGAUGAAAGCCAUAUGAUGACGUGUGCGAGAGAGCAAAAGGCUAGUUGAAAGAUUUAGAUUAGAAUAAUGCAUGAUUGUUCAAAGUUGGUAUAAAUGGUAAUUGAAAAUCAUUGGAUUAGUUUCCAAAUGAAUGCAACCCAGUGUUUCCUCAUUGCUGUAUGGUUAAAAUGAGACGGUUAGACACAAUGGUGACUAUCAAUUCAAGACAAUAAUAAUAUGAAUGGGAGGUCAUAUACUGCCAUUUAAUUAAGCUUGCCUGGCAUGUUCAUUUGUUAUGAAUGUAAGUAAAUGCAGAUUCUUUCAGUCAGCUAAUUGGGAGCCUGCUUAAAAGAACCUGGGAAAGGUAUAGUGCCAUAGCAACAACAGGCCAUGUGACCAUGUUGCUAUCAGCUGCACACCAAAUAUGAUUACUGAGAUUAUUUUCUUUCUGCUCUGGUAACAUGCAACAUCCUUUUCACUACUUAUAAUCAAUUCUUUUCAUAGAAAAGACAUGUUAAGACUGUGAAUACAAAAGACAGAUCUUUAAUUUAGAGAACGUGAAGCAUGGGAAAUCUGAAAUGCGAAUUCCUGGUUUUCACGAUGGAUAGUACUAUCACAAUGAACUGUUGCUAACAUGAAGUCAGAUCUUGACCUAUUUCCAACAUUAGCCAAUAGCAGAGAACACCUUCAGCUGUAUCUCUCACAAUAUUUGGCGCUUAAAAUCUUAAUCUUUUGCUGAAUCAUGCGAAUCACAACUUUGACUUUAAAAAAUCACCAGCCUGGUUCACGUGACACAGUAAGCCAAACUGGCUUCCUGUGGCUGUGCAAAUGUCUGGGCUCUUUUCAACUGCUCUGCCAAGCACAAGGUUUGGCUGAGCGUGCCGUCCAAACUGGGACUCAUUUGUGGUUAAGCUACCUCCUUGCUAACCAUGGUCAGUAGCCAAGAACCAACUUAGGCUACCACUCAUAGUUAGUAAGGAUGACGCUUAGCUGCAAGUCUAAGGCCAACCUUUGCUUAGCUCAACACAGGCAGCAAUAAACAGGACCAGGGAGGAGAAAAGAAAAUACGAGAGCCUCACAGAGAGAUAUCCACACCUUUACACGGCCAUGACAAACCAAACUUUAGUAUAUCGCAUUGUAUGAAACCCGGCCACUUGCAAUGGACACAGGUCCAUUGCAAGAAGUACUCCUGGUUACAUAUAAUUUUGAUUAUAUUUAAUACUGAGUUUAAUAUUAUAUUUUUCAAUUUCCAUUACACACAAUUAAUAUUAUUAAUAAUGAAUGCUAUAAUAAUAAUAAUAAUAAUAAUAAUAAUAAUAAUAAUGCAAAAGAGAUCAUGUUCUGCAAGUGUAUUUUUUAAACACUUACCUACCUCAUCAUGUUUUUGAAAGGUUUCGCUAUCCACCAUUUUCAAACUAUGCCUUCAGCAUUCUUAGAUGGGAAUUACGGGAACACUCCACAAAAUGAAGUGAAAUAGAGGAUCUCAGGUCAGGUCUGCCACUGGCACCACUUCUCCGCUCGCCGUGCUGCCUCCGCCACUGGGGGGGAAGUGACACUGGCAUCGGCGCCAAUUUCAGAGGAGAUCUCACUGAAAUGGCACAAAAUCUCAUGCAAUUUAAGCUGAAAUCGGCACUCAUACCAGCAUCAUGUCUGCACCAGCAGUGGAGGCAGGUCAAGGCAGCCUCAAGCUGCCAUCUUGGGGGCUUCUGCCUCAAUCUGCCUAACGGCAGAGCCAGCUCUGCCUCAGGUAUUGUUGCCCUUUAUAAAGAUCUAAGAAAGAGAUGCAUGACUAAGCGGCUUCUGGCGAACGAGAGCAGUGCACGGAAACGCCGUUUACCUUCCAGCCGGAGCAGUACCUAUUUAUCUACUUGCACCUUGAUGUGCUUUUGAACUGCUAGGUUGGCAGGAGCUGGGACCAAGCAACGGGAGCUCACCCCGUCACAGGGAUUCGAACUGCCAAGCCUCCGAUUGGCAAGCCCUAGGCUCUGUGGUUUAACCCACAGCGCCACCCACGUCAAAUAGAGACUGUCAAAUCUGUCGGUUGGGUUUCUCUGUUUCUCAUUAUUCAAAUCUUAAAUUCAGUUCUCCAUAUCUCCACAUCAAUUUGUGAUUUCUUUGUUUUGUUAAAAAAAAGUCCUCAUGAAAAUUCAUCAGCAUUAUACUGCAAAUUUCUCCUUUUAUACAAUUUUUUGCAACAAUAUUUCCCCUAAAAUAAUACAUUUUUGUAUGUUAUUUUCACCAAUAUUUGCAUUUUUAUUCAUGUUUUGUACACUUGGCAAAAGAAUUGCAUUUGAAAAUUCAGAGAAUUCUGAAAGAUGGCUGUGCUUCAGUUCUCAUAUUGUUUUGAAAAUGCAAAUCAGGCUUGCAGAGAUGUGGUUGUGAAAUUUGGAAGAAUAGCAGUUUUAGCAAGAAGAGAUUUACCAAGGACAAGUAGUGUGAAAUAGAGCAACUCCCCCCAAAAAACUGCAAUAUACAAGGAGAUCAUACCAAAAUUAAAUAGCGCCAAACCAGUUGGUCACAUCCACUCUCUCUCCAAGUUACUGCUUCCAUCAGUGUUUCUUCUGCUCCCCCACAUCUAGAAAUCAAGGAGGCUAAAGGGCAGGGAGGCCAAGAUGAGAGGGGCUGAAUGUGGCAUAUUGAUUUGAAAUAAUCAAAUUGGCUACUGGAUUUCUUACAAUACUAUUGCAGAGAACAUUAGUGUUUACCAGGGGUGGGGCGGAAUGUCCAUUUCUAGGGCCCUAAUAAAUAUGGGUUGCAGGCAAACUGAAAAGAUGGCCCCGGGAAGAAGCUUGCAUUCAGGGCAUGAGGUUAACUGAGGAGAAGACAAGGCUAAAGCUGAGGCAUAUGACUUCACGGUACAAAAUUCAAUUUUACAGAAAACCAUUCUGACAGGGAACCAACAGCCUAGAGGCUGAUGACAUAAUAAGGUUCAUAGAAUCUUUCUUUUACUUUAGAGGCUUCAAAUGAGCACGCAGUUCUCAAAACCUAACAUGCACUGACAAGGCACUUUUUAAAAACCUGUGCACAUUGGGAAAGAAGGAUUUUACAUUUGUUUCUUCACUGGAAAACCCGCUGUAGAAAACUGUACAACAGAGACUCUAAGCAGAGCUGUAUAAGCACAGACCUUACAUAUGCACUUAUUAAAAAUAAGAGCUAUAAAAUGGAGUUCCGCUUAUUGGGAUUACUGAAGAGGUAGGACUUCUUAUCUAUACUUGACUAACCUGCAAAACAAUGCCUAUCUGUAGGGAUAUACAGUGGUACCUCGGGUUAAGCACUUAAUUCGUUCCAGAGGUCCGUACUUAACCUGAAACUGUUCUUAACCUGAAGCACCACUUUAGCUGAUGGGGCCUCCUGCUGCCGCUGCAUGAUUUCUGUUCUCAUCCUGAAGCAAUGUUCUUAACCGAAACACUAUUUCUGGGUUAGUGGGGUCUGUAACCUGAAGCGUAUGUAACCUGAAGCGUAUGUAACCCGAGGUACCACUGUAUAGCCUGUUAACUGGGGAAAUGUAACAUUAUUUUCCAGCCCCAACUUGCACCAAUGGUGAAGUUGGGAUCCUUUUGCAAAUUUGAUUGGAAAGGUGGGGAGAACACAUUUAUAUUUGUAGCUGGUGCUUUCUGGAAUCGCAGUUUUGGCAAGUGCAAGAAAUCUAGUACGAUUUCAUUUAGAGACAGUUGUGAGUAGGCGCCAUGUUAUUGGGCAGGUGAAUUUUGCCUCAGGAAAGUGGAUUUUGAGCUGAUUGGGAUUAUAACUGCUGGGCUUUGCUUCAUGUCCCCACUUCACCCCAAGUAGAUUAUAAAUUCUGCUACAGAAAUGCCUUUGUUCAAGUCUGCAGGUGGAAGGAAGAGAUGGAAACAAUGGGGGAGGGACUUUUUCUGUCGAUCUUUGAAGAGGGACUCUGUUUGCGUUUCCUCUCAUUCCUUUCGUAGCUUCACAAAACUAGCUUCCAGUAAGAAAGAGACAACUUUAUUAUUGUAUGUAAGCUCUAGUUUUGCUAUGUUUGGUAGAGCAUGAGCCUCUUAGGACUCAGCUACACAGGUCAAUUGGUAACGUUAAAAUGUGUUAUAAAAAUGCGACACAGAUGGCGCUGUAGAGCAGAAUCCAAAGUCAAUGGCAGAUUGCCUUGGGAGCUCCCCCCCCCCCCCGCCGCCGUAGUGGUUUUUAUAUAUAAAUCCAGCCUUACUCUUAGGAUUGUGGGUUUGAGUCCCAUGUUUCCUGCAUUGCAGGGGGAUUAGACUAGAUGACCAUCGUGGCCACUUCCAACACUAUGAUUUUCUGAUUCUAUUAAAAAGGCAGUAUUAUUCAGUAUCCCUUCAGAGCACUGCUCAUUUCUGAGGACUGUGGUGUUUAUGGCAUGCAUAUUCUAUAGGAACUGGUGGAAUUCCCUUCUCUGGUCCCUACUGGAAAUCACCUAGGAGGACUGCAUUAAGUUGUUCCAUGUCCUGCAGAUUUUUGGCUUAGCAGGACUGCAAACUGUGAGGAGAGAUUUUUUUGGGCGGUGUUGCAUGGCACUGGGCCAGAUGACCACCGGAAUUCCUCCCAGCUCUACAAUUCUAUGAUUCUAUCUAUGAUUCUAUGAAAGGUUUCCUUGCUUCCCAACAUUCAUGGAUGCUCCUAUAACAUGGUAGAAACUUACCACAGAAACCAGGGCAUAAUCAAGCCAAAGCUAAGCAUUUUUAGCUCCCACUUAUUUCAGUGGAGAGAUUUAGGUAUGCACAUCUGUUGACUUUUGAACAUCCUCUUAGCUUUUUAGCAACAGAUGUGCCUCAUUCUUGCAUUGAAAUAAGGCGCACAUCUAACAAGGUAGAAAUUGGCUGGGUCAUUCCUCAGACUGUUGACUUAAUGUAUCCCAAAAACAUUGAAAACUUUUAGAAAGUAAUCACUACUGUUCUCUUUAACUUUGUCCAAAAAUUGAAAUUAAAAAAUAUUACAUUCCACAAAAAUUAGUUUUGAAAUUGCAGACUUUGGUGCUUUGUGUGUAAGAGUUAAAUCUACAGUACAACAACACACAGCAUGCAGUGAGUUAUAUUUUCCAGUGCUCUUUAAACGAGCUUUUAUCCCUAAUUAUUUUAGCCAGAGUCGGCCUUGUGAAUAUCUAUUAGCAGUUGGAUUUUAGUCUAGGUAUUAAAUUAAUAAAAAAAAGCUUAUUACAAGAUUUCUGCUCAGAACUAUACUUCCUUAUACAGCUCAGUCGUUGGUGUUUUCAGAUGAUGCAUGCCGUGCAUUCUUUGUCAUGUCUGUUAAACAAAGAAUUCUCUUAAGUCUGUAUGUUGAACUGGUAGUUGAUUAAUCAGUGGGAACAAAUUUUAAUCAGCAGGACAGAGAUUGAAUUGUACCCUUGUUUAAAACCAUUUUGAACCAAGUAAGGAGAAUGAAAAUAAUAAUUUUUGCCUGCCCUAACAAGGAGUGGUGCUUUAAUUUAUUAAAUCCUAAGUUAUUUCACUCUGUUUUCAAUAUCUUUGAAAAGAUCUCUGUAUAAGAGUUUGCCUUUUUGUGAAUAUAUUUACAGUUAUAUAGUCCAUUUCAAUACAGGUAGUUAAUCAACUACAACUCUUUAAUCUCUGGACACUCCUAAUUUAUGCUACUAAAAUGGUAGCCAUGGUUCUGUGGACAAUAUCUCCAAUGAUUUACAAUAUUUAUUGGUUUUAUCCAACUGAUACAAUCCUAACCAUGUCCACUCAAAAGUAAGUUCUGUUGAAAUCAGUGGUGCUUACUCCCAGGUAAGUGGGGUUAGGACUGCAGUUUAACUCAUACUUGGAUUAGGCCCAUUUAAAUCCGUUCACUUUAAGUUAAACAUGACUAAUUUAAACCAAUGAUUUCAAUAGGUAUACAUCGAGUAUGACUUAGUUUGAUACAACCCAUUGUAUAUUUAGUGUCGCAGCCAAAAGUUUGUAAAGUCAGAGUGAUGUUUAAUAUUUAAUAUUGCUUUAAUAUUGAUAUUUUAACACAGCAAAUAUCCUUAAUUAAUGUAACGUUAUUUUUAUAUUAUAGGUACAAGAAUGGCUGUGCUUAAACUGCCAGACACAAAGAGCAUUAUCAGGACAGCUUGGGGAUAUGGACAAAAUAACACCUCCUGUACUUUCCAAAUCAUCACCCAAGCCAUCAACUGCUCCUCAAAGCCAGGCUAAACCUGUUGAGCAGAAGACUUCAGCUCAAAUGCUGGAAAAGCCAAGAGGAGGAAUGGGAAUUCAGAAGGAAGAUUCAAAACUUCAACAGGGCAAAUUGGCAAAGGCAAUUUCAUCUGAUAAAAUCCAGGAAGGUACACAAAGGGAAGAUUCAAAAGUUCAACAAGAAAAACUG
rnacentral:lncRNA from 1 species